AUUUACGCCAGCUAAAAAAUCAUCAAAACUGCUUUUGAUAUUGGAUAUUGAACUGUUAUCCAUAUCCAGAGAAUCAAAUGUUGUGGUGGGAUUCUCAGGUGUUAAUUCAAUAGCUAAUGUGGUUUUGGGUUCCACAGGUGCCAUCAACGUGUCUGCAUUUUCAGUCAUUCGGUCUGCAAAAUCCACAAGUCCUUCUUCCACAGCAGGUACACUAGAAUCUUCUAUAUAUUUCAGCUCCCCACUUCCCAUAGGGUUCAUCUCAUUUGCCGCUUCAACAGAAUAACUCCAUGCAUUAGAUGGUUUGCAACUAAUGUCGUCUAAUUCAUUUGGACAGGAAUUAAUGAAAUCUAUGGAGACUGAUUUACUGUUUUCAACAAAACUAGAGUACAAGGACUUUGUAGCUUGUGUUUUAAAGCAAACUCUCUGGAGAUGAGUUCCAUUUUUCAAGCCCAAAUCAAUACCAUCUUCCACAUUACACUUCAAUUCAAAGUCCUUCCUGAAUGGGGAAAAGGAUUGCAAACCUCCAUGGAAUGAUGUCUGCUAAUUGAAAAAUGCAAAUGCAAUCAAUGUUUAAACGCAAGAUUCCCAAGGCAACAAAAAAGUAAGAGAUUUCAGGGCAUGUAUUGCAAGAUUCCCAUCAUUUUUUGUACAUUUCGAUUCAAAGUCCUUACUGAGUGAAAAUGUCAUCUUUGUAAUGUAGGGUAGUUCAAGUGCACAAAUUGCAGGUUCUAUGACUCCUCUAAACCACUUGUGUAUUUUACCAGAACUCUUGGUUAAGAAAAUCCUAGUCCAUGGUGUAUGAUAUAUCAAUCAUGCAACAAUGACCUACAACAUCUAUGUGGAUUGAUUUUUGCAAAAUAAAGAACAAUGCUGACUGAGGAAUAAGGUGCAUACCAGAUUAGCAAUAUCUCAGCAAGUAACCAACAAUUUUUUAUCCGAUAAGAAAAAAUUACAAUUUCUUGAAUAUACAUGAAACAUUUUGCAGAAAGAACCAUGUCAUAAUUAUGAGUCCAACUGAAGAAUUAUCAAUACUUAUCACAUGAAACGAAAGAUACCAGAGUUCACUUAAUGCAAUUCUCUUUUUUUUCUCUAACAUUGAGAUAAGCAAAAACUUUUAACUAAAGACAAUCAUCUAGUGAUCUCAAACAAAUUAGGUUAGUAUGAAACCAUCAUAAUUUGUUCGCUCAUUGCCUAAUUUUAUUAAUGCAAGAGCCUGGAAGCAACUCAAAAAGAAAAUAACCAACAUAGGAAGUGUCAUCUCAUAUCUCACCAAUGAAUGGGAACAGCUUGAUGUGGCUGAGCAAACUGGCAGAAUUGUCAUUUUAACACACGUUCAAGAAACUCAGCAAAUUCUCAUAUCUGUUUAAAUUCCACAGCAAAGAUAGUUACAAGAAAUCUAAUCAAAAUUUAAAAUGUCAGAAGGCAAAUCUUCCAAUUAGGAUCAAAAGAAGAUAAUUAUAAUUUGUCAUUUCAAUUCUGAUUGUACAAUUUUAUUUUUUUAUGUGUGCAUUUAUUAAGAUUCUACCUUCUCUGCAAAAUUGUGAUGGACUUGGUAAAUAAUGAAUUGUACCGACUUGAAUUUUAUACAACUUAUUGAGAUAAUAAUACGCCAAAUUCAACACCGUCCAUCCCAAAUCACAACAAGAAACUCAAACUUUUAUCCCCUCAAGUGGGUUCUUGAAACUGAAGCUUUAGUGCCAGUACAAUUUUGAAAGAUUGUGAUCAAACUAAAACAUCAAAUAAAAUAAGACGUAACAAAAACACGUCUUCAGAAAAUUAGUAUAGGAAUAAAGAUAAGCUACACAGACCUACUUCAAUGAAUUAGAAACAUUAUGAUAAACUUGAUGCAUUUCGAAAAACAACAAACAAAUAUUCCCAGGAAAACAAAAAAAAAGACAACUUUGUUUAAGCUUAGACAAAAAUAACAAAGGACAUAUGAAUGCAUCAUAAUAGUAUCCAUUCCCCAAUUGAGUUCACCAACAUAAAAUCAGCAUGCAAUAAAAGAUAUAGUCUUAGCAAAAUUUGUGUGAAAAUGGGCUAAAUUAAACCCAAAAACCAUUUGAAAUUCAAUCUCUGAUGCAAGAAACAUCCAAAAUUUAAGAUAAAUAAACUAAAUUACACAACCCCAUUUGAUUUCAUGACAAAGAGAUCAAAUCUUGAACUGUGUAUCUUGAAAUUCAGUCGUUAGUAACUGCAAAAUUAUCAAAAAAAAUGAGCUAAACAUAUAUAGCAUUUCAGAGGAGUGCUUACUUGACAAAUCACUAAUACAAAGCUGCGAAUGGGCAUUCGGAAUGUUUUGAGAGACUCGUAUAGAUAAAAUAUGAAGUUAUUUAAGUAAUGACAAAAGGAGAAUCGUGUGGCUUGUCAAAGCCGUUAGCUCCAUCUCAUUUGCCUCGUCCUCUCGUUUUGUUUCUGUGGGGACAUAUUUGAUAUUUCGGAUUUUGUCUAAAAUUUGUCAUGUUUUUGGAUACUAACAUCUACGCCUCUAGUAUUUAAUAAAAUUGUAGUUAAGGAUAAGCUUUUCAUUUCUUUCGUCUUAGAUCUUUUUGAAGUCGUAUUUUAUUAUAAAUUUUAUUAAUAAACCAAUAAUUUGACAUUAAACCAAUUAUUUAUGAACCCGCUAAAUUCUUCCCUGCACCUAUUAAAAAAAAUCAUUCAUAAUAUUUAAAAUUUCAAAAUUUUAAAAUUACCCUUCAUAAAUUUCUUUUUCUCUCUAUCUUACAAUUGAAUAUUCUCUUUCUAUUCUAACAUUUUGUAAACUAAACGUUUAAUUUCACUUUUUUAAUUUAUUUUUUGUCUUUUCUUAGUAUAUUAUGAUCUCUAAUUCAUGUUUUCUAUCUAUAAGAAUUUUUUUUAUAUCUAUUAAAUUUUGUGUUUGGUGAAAAUUAAUUUCUUGAUAUUUGUUCAUUUUUAUAACUGAUAAAAAUAUGUCAAUGUUCAUUUUUAAAUGAUGAGUUUUGUUCAUUUUAGUUAGUUAUAUUAAUUUUUUGUAGGUAAAAGAAUAUAUUUGAAUGAAUUGAAAGAAAAUUGUGAAAUUGAGAAGAGAAAGAGAAGAAAAAGUUAAUUAAAUAUUUUUUCAAAAAUUAUUUAAAUAAUAAAAUUUUUAAUUAAAAAUAAAGAUGGAGAGAGAAAUUUAGUGGGUUCAAAAUACUUAUUUUAAUUCUAGAAAAGAACCAAUAAAACAAACCGAAAGAUGAUUCUUUUCUUUCUCGACAUAUGUCUUUGUACUUUUCUCUCUCUAUUGAUCCACACAUUUUCAUACUUCUAACUAUGAUUUUGUUUCUGUUCUGAGUUAUGAUUUAUUCAAUUAUUUUGUAUUUUUAAUGAAAAUUAUUUCAUAUUUGGUUAGUUUUGAUAUUGAUUAGUGAUUGAAAGUGUAUUUUAGAAGACUUCCAGCCUCUAGAAAAAAGGAAAAAUGGAGAAGAAGAAGAAGAAGAAUUGUUCUUGAUUUUUUGGAGGCGUUAAAGUUAAAUGGUUUGAAAUGAUAUUUUGUUUUAAUUUCACUCAUUAAUCUCAUUCAGGAUAAAAUUAUAAAUGCAAAUAAAUGGGGUUUCAUAAGUAUUUUUAAUAGUAUUAAAAGGUCUACUCGCUAAAUAAAUAUGUUUAACUCAUACCAAUCCGAUUAAUAAGCUAUUGGGUUGGGUUGAUCAGGUUAAAAAUCAAAAUUAAAAAUUAAAUAAAUAAAAGGCAUAAAAGCUAUCUGUUACUUGAAAAUAAAAAGAAUUUCUAAUAGUUAGUUCUAGUGUCCCGUAUCCAAAACAUGCAUAUUUAAUAAAUGUUAUAAGUUAGAAAUACAAUAUCUAAGAAAGAAUUAAUGAAAUAACAUAUUCUUGUUGAGAAUUAAGAGUGUGAUUUUAAUUUUGAUAUUGGAGUCUAAAGCAAUAGAUAGUACAAUGAAAUCAUGAAUGCUACAUUUAAAUAAUCUCUUUUAUAAAAUAAUAAAAAGAGGUUAAAAAUUAGGUUAGCAUUUAGGGUUUAGAAGUUAAAGAUGAACAUAUUAUUAUUGUUGUUGUUGUUGUUAUUAUAAUAAUAAUUAUUAUUUACAUGAUAAGUAAUCCAACUGUAACAUAUGUGAAUUUAAAAUGAAUAAAAAGAGGCGGUUAAGAAGUUAACAAAAGAAGAAGCUGGAAAACAGAGCAACAGAGAGCCACACGUGUGUGAGAGAGUGAGACAGAAGCUGCCAAACCGACCCAACUACAGACCUGGAAACCCGACCCGGAACCCGUGAUCUUGACCCGACUAUAUCUCUCAUUUCCGGCCACCGUUUCGGCCGAGCUUGGUACCAAUCUGAAGCUUAGAAGCCGGCCGUCGUUCCCUGCCAUCCUUGUCACCGAAAACCAACCGGAACACUGGCGAUCGAAGCUUGAAAACUCGCGAUUGUUUUACUUUGUUCUGCCGGGAUUUUCGCCGGUUUUGGGUGACACCACCGAUUCGAUUUUGUUCCUCACGACUCCCUCUUCCAUUUCCGACCAUCCAUAGCUACCGAGAGUCACUGUUUUGCCGCCGGUCAAUUGUUGGAAUUCACGGUUGUCGAGUUAGAUUCCGGCGUCGUUGUCGCGCGUUGGAGCUCACCGCCGGUACCAUUGAACUCAACGUGAUUGGAACUUUCAGACUUGAGCUUCCUGGCCAGCGUUGACUAAAUUCCGGUGACCGUUGACCGGCAAGGGCAUUUCAGUAAUUUCACACUAUGAGGGCAAUUUUGUAAUUUUCUGAGCAUGUGGAUAUUUUAGUAAUUCCUGGAAUUAAGGAUUGGGUAUAAUUACGAUUCCGAGGGUAAUUUGGUGAUUUACGAUUUCGGAGUAUUUUAAUGAUUUACGGACUCGAGGGCAUUUUAGUAAUUUUAUCAACACAGGAGUUGUAAAUUAUAGAUAGAUGUUCGUUUCGAGUUUAUUGCAUAAAUUUAGUCGUAAUUCCGAUUUACGGAAAAUAAUUAUGUUGUUUCCUUAAUUUAGGAGGAUCCACGAGCGAGGACUGGUCCGCGGACGUGGAUGAUAACCGAGCAUGAACACCGUCACUGUGAGUGGAAUACACAAAACCUAUUUUCAUAGUUAAUUAUGAUAGUAAUGCAUGUUUGUGAAAUAAGUAUUUUAAAUGUUCUGAUUUAAUGAUUUCCUCGAAAUGGAUUUUAUUCACGCAUUGAUAUUUUAUUAAAAUAUUUGGUUAAUGAUUUUGCGUAUCGACUUUGAAUAAGUAUGAUAGUAUUUUAAAGAUAAGAAAAGUGAAUUCAAAUGUGAUAUGAUUUAAAAUAUGGUUAAAAUGUAUGUGAAUAUGAGUAUAAUGAUGGUUUUUGAAAUCAUUAGACAGUACCCUUUUCCUCCAGAUACAGUGAUACAGAUGAUAUAAGAUGAGAGGCCUUUGGGGCCCGUCUGAACACACACAGAGGCUUUGGGCUGUGUGUUUGGGCGUUUUUGCCUUUUGGGGGCAUAUGCAUGCGGUAUGAUGAUUAUAGAGAUACAGAUAUGAGAUACAAACAGAUAUUGAGAUACAGAUGAUACAGAUGAGAUAUAGGCCUUUAGGGCCCGUCUGAGUACACACAAAGGCUUUGGGCCAUGUGCUUGGGCGCUUUUGUCCUUUGGGGACUAAAUUAUGCAUGCAUAGAUAUGAUGAGAUAUGAGAUGGUAUUUCCCUGUCUAUCUGUGUAGCUCCCGAGCGUGAUGGUGCCUAGAUAGUACGUCAUUGCCCGUUUGUUAAGGUCCGGAUACGAUGAGAUUUAUUUCCCUGGGUACUUGUUUAGUGAUAAUUUUCAGAUUUGUGUAUUCUAUAUGAUAUUGUGAUAUGAUUUGCAUGGUUAGUAAUCUGGUUUAAAUGUUAAAUGAUUUAUUACUGGUUUCUCGCUUAUAGUUUAAUGAAAUCGUGUUUGGAAAUGAUAUGAUUAUUUCUUUUAAAGUAAGAAUUAAUUUUCAAAAAUUAUUAUCCACUCACUGAUCUCACUGAGUUUUAAACUCUUCCCAUUUUUAUUAUAUUUUCCCCCCCUCACUAGGAGGUUGCAGGUACACCAUACCGACCUACCGACUGUAAAUAUAUUUUGAGUCUUGGCCACGCGAUGGUGUUAGAAGAUAUAAAUAUUUUUGUUAGGACAUCUUGGUUAUCUCGUCCUGUUGGGAUUGUAUAAUUUUUUUUAUAUAUUAUUCUUUUGGUAUUAAGAAUAAACUGAGAUAUUAAUAUUAGUUAUAAUAUUAUCUUUUGAGACUCUGGAGAUAUAAAACUCAGCAUUUUGGUUGAGGAUGUUGCUCACUAGAAUUUGUUGUAUAUUGAAUUAUAUUAGAAGUGUUAUAUUCAUAUUUGUAGAUUGAGAGUGUUAUAUAUAUAAAGGAGACUCUGCCGAAUUUUUGGCAGAAUCUUUACUAAUUAGAUUAUUAUCAAGUCUGUUUUGAUGAAACUAGAUUGACUCGCCCGGGGAGAUUCGGGGCGGGUCGUUUCACCAACCCAACCUAAUUAUUAACGAAUUUGAAAAAUUGACCCAAUUAAUCCACAAUAAUUCAUUCAACUCGUCUAAAUUGGAUUAGGUUGAACUUGAUUUGCUACCCCUACAUUGAGCAACAAACCUCAACGUGAUUCUAUGAGCUCUUUGAUUGUUUAUAAAAUUGAUUUAGAGUGCAUAAAGUGUAUCGACAAUGAAAGUGCAAAACAAAUUAUUGUACAUAUUAAAAUGUGCAAAACAAUGAAUUAUAUGUACGAACGAGUGCAAACACAUUUUUCAAUAAGAAGUUAAAAGAUAUUUAUUCAUGAAAAAGCCUACGUUUGUAGUUAUUCUAAAUUUUAAAAACAAAAUUUACAUUUAGAUCCCUAAAAUUCACGUAUAAGUACAAAAGUUUCAAAUAUUGUCUAUUAUUUUUUAACAUAUGCCGAUUCCUUGUGGAUAAUUCUGUCUCAUCACUAAUGUUGUUUCUUGUUUACAAAAACCAAAGGCCACCUCCUUUUACAAUUUGUACAGCGUCUCAAAAUAGACAAUAGGGGGAUUUUGAAUUUUUUAAGUCUCAAGAUAGUCUCUAAUCUUGUGAGAAAGAUUUUCUUUCAAUAAUUUGGAGCUAAACAUAACAUAUUUUUUAGACUAAAGUCUAACUCUGCUGGUUUGUAGUUGGUGGUAUCCUUUUCAAGACUUGAGUCUUUAGAUUCGAGUUUUAUAUAGUGCGCAUGUGUAUUUAAUUAAUAAUUUUUUUAAAACAAUACAUCAAAUAUUAAUAUCCAUGACAUAAUUUAGUUCUUAAUUUUUUUUUAAAUACAUCAAAAACAUAAUUUUUUUUAACAACUUAUAAGCAUGACAAAUUUCAAGAUAUAAAUAUCAGUCAAAACAAGUGAAAGAAAUAAUGGUGACAAUUCUAAUUUCUUAACUAAAUUAAUUAGUGCAUGAGCCCCGAAUACGACACGAGAGUUUGAUGGGCUAACUUGGUACAAGAACCUGAAUAAAUAAUUGAUUUAAGAAAUAAUUCAAUAAAAAAUAUAAUUGAUAAGAAUUCAGUAUUGAAAUGAGUUUUUUAUGAAACACUGAAUUAAUAAUUAUUAAGCAAGAAUAAUAAAAAAAUAAAUAUUAACCAUUGAUAAGCUUCAACAAGAACUUAACAUAACCCUCAAUCCUAAUUCAAAUUAUAAAUGUCAUUCAUAUAUUCAUUAUAAAUCAAUAAGAAAGGUUAUAAAUGUUUAGAAAUUCUAGAGGGAAGGAAGCUAUCGCCAGGCAAUCAACAACUAAAUUUAAUGUAAUUGUGGCACAAGAUGGAAUAUGGAAACUACACCAUAAUUUCAAAUGCUGCCAUAGACAUUGACUUAUCUACAAUAACAAUGAUCUAAUUAAAAUAAAAAUAAAGUUCAUGGGCAUUUAUUAUUUUGCCAUUCCUCAUUUGCAAAUAGGAAUAUAAUUAUAAUUUUACUUAGUCAAAGCAAUCGGUAAUUUUCUUCAUUAUAGGAGUGAAGUAAAAACAUUUAGAUUUUAAUGUAUGUACGGAAAAAUUUAUCUUUAAAAAUACUUUCUUAAUAUGUGUAUAUAUAUUGAAACACUCAAACCAAUUUUGGUUAUUAUAUAAUUAAACAAAUUUUAAAAUAUGAAAAAUAUAAUGUAGUUAUAGUGGAUAAACAAUAAGUGAGCACAAUAUAAUUAAUCAAAUAUUAUGCCAUCAAAAGUUAAUUUUAGAAAUUCCAAAUCCAAUAGCCAACACAAUUCUUUUUUUUAAAAAAAAAGCUGACACAAUUAAUAAAAUUAGUGACAUGAAUUUCACACCAUUGAUAAUAAGCAAUUAGUAUUACAUUCUAAACUUGCUUCAACUGGUCGUUGAUGUCCGGGGUCACCAAAAGUAUAAGCAAUAAUAAGGGGCAUUGGGCAAGAGUGAUGAAUGUUUAGUCGGUGCAUUUGAAAAUUUUAAUCCAAUCACUUAUUUAAUGAAAACAAAAUGAGUUAGGAUAUUUUAUUUAGAACACACAUUUUAAUAAGGCUUCAUUUGAUGUAGUUUUUUAAACAGUGAUUAUUUGAGUAAAGUUUCCUCAAUAGAGUUUUUAUCAAACAAAUUUUAUUUAUUUGGUUGUCGGUAAGAGUUUUUAUUAAAAAUUAUAAAAUUAUUUAAAUAAAUAUAUUUUUUAAAAUUACAUUAUAAAAAGAAUCAAAUAAAGUUAUAAAAGUAAAAUAAAUUUUAGAUAUUUUAAUAUUUAAGAAAAAAAUUUUGAAUCUCUACUUUCAGAAACUCAAAUUUUUAGCUUUUAAUUGUAGAGACAAAAUAUCUUAUUUAAUCUUUAAAAGUUAUGCUAAAAACAAUCAAAUAACUACAAAAAUUUUAAUAAGAACACAUAAAAUUAAAAAAGCAUUUAUUAAUAAUCACUUUAGUGUACUUAUCUAAGUGUUUAUUUAAUUUCAUAAGUUCUUAUUUAAUCUCAUGAGCUCUUUCAAAUUUUUUUGUUGUUUUUUUUAGUAAAGCUUUUCAAAAUUAAAUAAAUUAUUUUGCUUCUACUAGGAAAAACUAAAAUUUUAGGUUUUUGCGAGUAAUUGUUUAAAUUUUUUUAAAAAAUAUUAAAAUGUCUAAAAUAUCUUUUUUUUUUAAUUUUAUAAUCUUAUUUCAUUUCUUCAUAACAUAAAUUUAAAUAACUUACCUAUUAAAAUAAUUUCAUAAUUUCUAAUAAAAACUCUAAUUGACAAUAAAGUAACAAUUUUUUUUUUUGUAAAAACUGUAUUUAUAAAAAAUCUACUUAAAUAAAUUAUACUUAAAAAAGGUAUACUAAACGAACCUAAGAUAAAAACAAAAAUUUUUACAUGCAGACAAUUAAGCUUAAAACAAUUUCAAAUGAAUUUUAGACUAAUCAAAGUACAAUACGUACCAAGUUUGGUAAUUUAUUGACAUCUUCUCAUAUACCUUCGAUCAAGUCGAUUCUGACUCGACGACUAAUUGGUACAUCACCGUUGUUCUCUAUACUCGCAUGCAUCCGAUCACAAAUCUCACUCCAAUUGUCGUCUUUCUUCGGCGUUUUAGCGCAUCCUUCUUGAAUUUCCCGCAUUUCGUUCCCUCCUGUUACAAGUCUCCGGUCAGGUCAGUUCACUUGACGAUUAAUUCGCCAAAUCUUGAAUCUCUUCUCUAUCCCUCUCGUUUUCUCGUGUCUCCUUUCAGUUACAGCGAUUGAAUCAAUUUUAUCGCAGUCUUAAGAGAAAUUAAGUAAUGCUCUUGGAUUUAAAAUUUUUUUGCUUUCGACUUUAGAUCUCGAAAGUCAAACUCUGCUACGAAUCCAUGGAUUCUCAAUGUUUAUAAUCUUAUUUGUGUUUGACCAGGUAAUUGGAUCGUGAAAUUCGUCGUUUUGUAUCAAUUCAAGCUUUCGCGAGCUCAUGGAAUCACCUGGUGAGUUGUGGUGAAACGUUAUCGUUUCAAUUUUCGCUUAAUUCUUUAUUGCAUAUUUUUUUCUCUAAUAUUUCAGUUUAAUUUAGAAAAGAAAGAGGACCCAAAAAGAGAGAGAGAGAGAGAGAGACUCUACCAUACUCAAUUCCUUGCUCAUUCUGAUUUGGCCUGACUGUUGGCAUUGACUAUUAUUUGUUUUCAUUUCGAUUUAAUUCUCAUUUAGACAGUCUUUACGAACGGUCGAUGAACAGGAUGUUUAUGUUUACCUCAUUUUGAGCCCUGAGGGCUUCGUUGAGUAGUUGAUCCAACAUAUCCAGCAACGGUUGAUGUGAGAACAGGAUGCCACUUAGAUAGGCUUAAACUGAUUUUGGAGGUUUGUAUUGGUUCUAUUGUACGUCUUGCUUACAAAUUUUUUAUUUUUUAUUUUUAAUUUUGUAUAAUAUGCUCUUUGUUGGUAAAUCUCAUUUGACUUAGAAGAGAUAGUUUUAUCCCAACGGUGGGAUAAAUCAUUGAGAUGCAUGGCAGUGUGAAUAUAGUAGACAAAAUCAUUGAGACACAUGGUGGUUUGAACAUAGUAAACUUUGUCAAACACAGCUAAGAUAAGCAAAUUGUUUCAUUAGCCUUUAUCUUAUCUGCUGUGAUGAUUCAAAUUAAUGCUGUUUGGUAGGUUGCAAAAAACGAAAUGAGCUGACUGUUCGUAUUAUUUAGUCAGAUCUAUUGCAAUAAGUUGAAGCUCAUUGUCGCAUGGGUUGGGAGUAGCGUGGGCUGUGAGUAGUAGAAUGGAUUUAUGGAGUUGAUACAAGUGCCCACAAUCUAUCAUGUCAUUCUAGGAUUAAAUGGAUUGCACAUUACUGUAAAGAUGGAGGUUAAAUUUAUAUAAUUCGGAUUGAUUGUAAAAUGGAAGGCAGAGAUGAGUUAGAAAAAGAAUGACCUGUGUCCUUUUUGAGCUGUUUCUAAAUCUCCCUGGUGUGCUUCAUGCUUAACACGUGUCUGUCCAAAUAAUUUUGCUUAACCUGUGCUUGUCUACUUCUUGUGCUAUUCUGUGCCUGGUCCUGAGCUGUGUUGGUAGAUUGACAUCCAGCUUGAACUUUUAGGUAUAUCUUUUGUACAUAAAUUCUGAAUACCCAUGGACUUAGUGUGAUAAAGUCAAGGAUCCAUUUAGCUGAGUCCUUCAAGUUUUGUUAGUAUGUCUUCGGAUUAUAAAUAUGAGACAAAAAUGAGGUGUAGAAUACAUUUAAAAAGAAAAGGAUAAAAAAACAAAAGAAAUGAAAAGAGGUGUUUAGAAGUAACAGCUAAACUAGAUACACUCCCACUAAUUAGCGAUUCUGAUGAACAGUACCCAUGGCUUCUUUUAUACCUUGAAGUUGCAGAAAUUGAUUCUUGGUGAAUUAAGUCACUUACAGACAUAACUUUUUCUUCCAUCUAAUUUUUAUUAGGUUAGAUAGGAGAAGACUUGUUUCAGGGUGUCCUGACCCUAGUAUUAGUUUUCUCGUCAGACUUUUCAAGAAAAUUUACAAUGCACACGACAUACAACUUCUAGUAAUCCUAGGACUUAGUUGACAGGGUGCUUCUAUUCCUCGUUGUGGAAAUGGGACAAACCUUUUGAUACCUUUACCAGGAUCAGUUAGUGCUGAGGAUAUGGCUCUUACUGGAGCUGGUGCACGACUUCAUGAUCAAGAUGCACCAACCCUUCCACUGUUGUAUGACUUUGAAGAAUUAGAGGGAGAAUUGGAUUUUCUUUCUUGUUUUGUGGCAAUUACCUUUUAUCCUGCUAUUUCUGGAACAAGCUCCAUGACUCUUGGUGAGGUAGAAAAUAUUUUCAUAAAAUGUUAAUUGAUGUAUCUACGCACUUUAUUCUUAAAUUAGUAUUUUAGACCAUGAGCUUUGUGGAGUGGGUUUGCUGUAACUCAUGCUGGUGACAACAUAAUUGUUAAUAUUAUUACAGAUAGAGAUUCUUGGAGUUUCUCUUCCAUGGAGGGGGGUAUUCAAUAAUGAAGGCCCUGGUGCUAGAUUAAUUGAGCUUGGCAAAAAGUUUCAGGAGGAAACCGAUCCAUUUUUGUCAAAUUCAGUUACAAAUACAGUUCCGUUUUCCAAUGAAAAUGUGUCAACAUCAAUGCAAACAGAAGCUGCUUCCAAUCCUUGGGUUGACCUGUUGUCUGAAGGGGACACAUUUUCUGAUCCUCUUUCAGAGCCGUUUUCUAACCCUCUUUCUGAGCCGUUCUCUGAUCCUCUUUCUGAGCCAGUGACAAGAAAUGUUGCAUCUGGAGGGGCUGAUUUGCUUGAUUUCUUGGACCAGCCUAUAGUUGAAGAUCAUGGUGUGGAAACUUAUAAAAGAUCUUCAACACAGGAUGGCUGUUCUCUAGCUAGUGGUGCCCAGCAGUACAUAAGCUGUCUAAAAUCCCUUGCAGGGCCACGCGAGGUAUAGUAUUGCUCUCUUGUGUUUUUUGCAGCUUUACAUCUUAGCAACUUCAUCUUUUUAAAGGAGUAAAUUCUAGAAGUUCAACAAAUUUUAAUCUGCUAAAUGUAUAACUUAUUAAUCAGAGUCCUGUUAUUAUGGUUUGACACUACUGACAUAUUGUGUUGGUAUUUAUUUGUACUUCCCUUGGUUGAAUUAUUUGCUGUCUCCAUGCCAGUCGAUAUGGUGCAUCCAUGAGGCUAUAUAUAUGUAAAGGAUGAAUUGAUUGUUUUGGCUUGUAUUCUCACAUUUUAUGAUUGAUCGAUGGAAAGGUCUUCAUGUAUUAAAUUCAACCUCACAAGCGUAAGAUUGACAGAUUGUGGGAAAAUUUUCAGGAAAAGAAACUAGACUUCAUGGAAGCAAUGAAGCUUGAAAUUGAACGUCUGCAGCUGAAUCUUUCUGCAGCUGAAAGGGAUAGAGCUUUAUUGUCAAUUGGAACUGAUCCUGCCUCUAUAGAUCCAAAUGUAUUGCUUGAUGAAUCUUACAUGGGAAGACUGUCGAGUAGCAACCACUCUUGCAUUACUUGGCCAAACUUCCCUAGAAGACAAAAUUGUUGGUGCAAUUGGCCUUGAGAAUAGUGAUGAUAGUGUUUUAGACUUCUGGAAUAUUACUAGAAUUGGAGAGAGUUGUUCUGGUGGCGGGUGCAAGGUUCGUGCAGAAACUAAGGUGCCUGCUCUUGCUUCCUCAACUGCAACAUCUGUUGGAGCUUCACAAUCCCCUUUGUUGUGUUCUCAAUGUGAAAGAAAAGUUUGCAAAGUUUGUUGUGCAGGAAGAGGAGCUCUACUGUUUUCAAAUUAUAAAUCAAGGGAUGUGACCAACUACAAUGGCUUCUCAAGUCAGAGUGGAUCAAGCCAUGGAAGCCAAGUUGAUGUAUCUACCAGUCGUUCACUAACACUGGAUGGCGUUAUCUGUAAACACUGCUGCCAUGAGAUUGUGCUUGAUGCAUUGAUGUUGGACUAUGUUAGGGUCUUGAUUAGCUUGCGAAGAAGUUCCCAUGCAGACAACGCAGCAUACAAUGCUUUGAAUGAGGUUGUUGGAUCCUGCUUAAAGGAUAGUCUUUCUGAAAGGAUUCAGUCUUCCGAUAACGUGCAAGCUGCUGAAGUCCUUCACCAAUUAUGUGGUGGACAGGAAUCACUUGCUGAAUUUCCAUUUGCUAGCUUUUUGCACUAGGUAUGUUCUUGGUUUGUAUUCAGUUCUCAUCAUGUUAUGUUUUCCUUUUAAAUUUCUUUUCUUGAUUAAAAUUUUUAGAAAUAUGUUUUAGUAUUUGUUCUUAUGAUAGAUGCCCAGAACAUUCAUCCCACUUAUCCAUGAGAAUCCUUGUCUGGUUUGAUUUUCAAUUGAGACAUUUUUGGGAACCCUGAGCAGGUUCCAUAUGCUAAUAAUCUUUGAGGUAAGGUGUUGUAGGAUGCCUUGAGAAGCUAAAAACCUAUUACAAGGAAAAGCUCUUGCAUUGUUUUGUGCAAUCUGUGUGCUAGCAAGUCAUGUCUCUAAUAAUUUCAUAGUUUGCUUGAUUGGAAUUUUUUAUCUUGAUAUGGAUUGUUUAUUCUAGAUUCCUUGGUGCCACUGUAGGUUGAAACAGCAAAAGAUUCAGCACCAAUUUUGUCACUGCUUGCUCCAUUAAAUUCUGGAUCAAGGCACUCAUAUUGGAGAGCUCCACCUAGCACUACUUCUGUUGAAUUUGUUAUUGUUCUCGGUUCUGUUUCUGAUGUCAGUGGGGUUAUCUUGCUUGUUAGUCCUUGCGGCUAUUCUGUGGGUGACACUUCGAUGGUAAGUGCCAUAUUUAUUCCCGUAUUUCCUUGUUGUUCAAUAAAUUUGGUGAUAAGCCAAGUGGCCUUAAUAAUGAAGCCCAGUACCAGGGGUGGUGGGUAAUCGGUAUUCAACUUGUGAAUAUUCCUAAGCAAACACUGAAUCAACAUAUACAUCGGCAAAAGUUCUCCAUGCUAUUAUAACGAAAGUCAUAUUUUGAAAUGAUUAAAAGAGUCCCUGUGUAGUGCCAUUUCCAAAGAAAUUGCAGCUGGGGGUUUAGUUUCAUGUAGGUUAGUUUCCGAUAAUAAACUUUCCAUUUCAUUAAUUGCUGAUGAAAAAACCAAGUAAGAACAGUUUUGUUGCUCGUCAUUUAUGUAUAUUUUGGUAAACUGUAAUUUUAAAUUCUCAACGAUCUUCCCUUUGUAGGUAAGAAGAUGGUCCACUCACUUGAUAUUUAUGAUUGUAGAUCAGGUUUCUAUUGGUUUGCCUUUAUCAUUCGGAACCCAAGUUUGAUAUUAACAGAGAUCACGUCAAUAAUAUCCUAUUUGGGUAGAUGUGGGCGAGGAUUUAAAAUCAAAUUUGAAAUUGAGGGCAAAGAAGAGUGUAACAAAAUAUAGGAAGGAAACAGUAAACACUGCACUUUCAUAUUACCUUUAUUAAUCAAACUACAAGAUUAUAUAUAGGCUUGAAGCUAACAUAGACUAGAAGUCUUAUCUUAGCAAAGUCCUUUAUUCUAGGGAUAAAAACAAAAAAUAAGUAGAUAGAACAUAUCAUGUAAAACAACCACCAGAUAAGGAUAACUCUAUUUUUUCAAAUUCUGCCACACUCCCCCUCAAGCUGGACAAAAAACAUUGAACAUUCCCAGCUUGUCUACCAACUUUUCAAACACUGGUUUGACUAAUCCUUUAGUAAGAAGAUCUGCAGUUUGUUGAGAUGUAGGCACAUAUGUCAUAGAAAUUACUCCUUCUUCUAUCUUCUCCUUGAUGAAAUGCCGGUCAACCUCAACAUGCUUAGUUCUAUCAUGAUGUACUGGAUUAUGAGAAAUAUCUAUGGCUGCCUUAUUGUUACAAUAAAGUUUCAUAGGUUGAAUAUCUGCGAUUUUUAGCUCCCCUAAUAAUAGUUUCAGCCAUAACAACUCACAGAUACCUUGAGCUACUGCUCUGAACUCUGCUUCAGCACUACUUCUUGCCACAACUGACUGUUUUUUACUUCUCCAAGUUACUAAAUUCCCCCAUACAAAUGUGCAAUAGCCCGACGUAGAUCUUCUAUCCUUAAUUGAACCAGCCCAAUCAGCGUCUGUGAAGGCUUCAACACUUCUUGCCUCAUUCUUUUUGAAGAGAAGACCUUUUCCUGGAGUUCCUUUAAGAUAUCUCAGGAUUCGAUAAACAGCUUCCAUAUGUUCCUCGCAUGGAGCAUGCAUGAAUUGACUUACAACACUAACCGCAAAAGCAAUAUCAGGUCUAGUGUGGGAAAGAUAGAUGAGUUUCCCAACAAGUCGCUGAUAUCUCCCUCUCUCAACAGGAAUACUGUCCUUCAAGUCUCCUAAUUUCAAAUUUGCAUCCAUUGGUGUGUCUACAGGCUUACAACCUAUCAUUCCUGUUUCUUUCAAAAGGUCUAUAACAUAUUUCCUUUGAGAAACAGAUAUGCCUGUGUUAUUUCUUGCCACUUCCAUGCCUAGAAAGUAUCUUAGGGAUCCAAGGUCCUUUAUGUCAAAUUCUAUUGCAAGAAUUUUCUUCAAUCUCUUUAUUUCAACAAUAUCAUUCCCAGUCAAUAUUAUAUCAUCAACAUAAACAAUAAGAACAGUAAUCUUACCAUCCUUAUGUCUAUAAAAUAACGUGUGGUCUGUCUGAGCUUGUUUGUAUUCUUGCUGUCGUAUAGCCCUAGAGAAUCUGUCAAACCAAGCUCUAGGUGACUGUUUCAGUCCAUAGAGUGAUUUUUUCAAUUUACACACUAGUCCUCUUCCUUCCUUAUCAAAUCCAGGUGGCAACUCCAUGUAAACUUCCUCUGCUAAGUCUCCGUUAAGAAAAGCAUUCUUAACAUCUAAUUGUUGAAGUGGCCAAUCCAAGUUUGCAGCCAAGGAUAAUAGAACUCGAAUUGUAUUUAAUUUAGCGACUGGAGCAAAUGUUUCCUGGUAAUCAAUCCCGUAUGUUUGAGUGAACCCCUUUGCUACUAGUCGUGCCUUAUACCUCUCUAUUGAUCCAUCAGACCUAUACUUGAUAGUAAAAACCCAUUUACAACCCACUGGAACCUUUCCUUUUGGUUUUUGUACCAGCUCCCAUGUUCCCAUCUGUUCUAGAGCACUCAUCUCCUCCAUAACAGCCUGUCUCCACUUCGAGUCUUCUAACGCUUCUUGAAUAUUCUUUGGAAUUUGUACACCUGAAAGAUUAGUAACAAAUGCUCGAAGAGAAGGUGACAGUCGGUCAUAGGUCACAUAAUUAGAAAUAGGAUAUUGAGCACAAGAUCUAAUCCCCUUUCUUAAGGCUAUAGGAACAUCAAGAUCAGCAAUUUCAGGUUUAAGAACAGUAUUUUGAGGCUGUAUACCUUCAUUCAGUUCGGUCUCUUGACAGUGCUGUCGGUGAACAGGUUCCUCAACUCUUUGCGGAUUAUUCCGUCGUGAAUAAACACGUAGCUCUUGUUGUUGCUGUGUUUCUCCCCCUGUCCUGAAAUUUUCAUCAUUAGUAGACUUCAUUGGCUGAGAUGAAUUUUGAGUUGUUUCUGAUGAAGACAAAUCUGAUUGAGACUGACACGGCUGAACAGUAGUGAGUUUAGGUGGAGAUAACAAUUCUGAAGACUGGGGAAAAAUUGGAGAUGGUAAGGACGCUUCCCAAAAAUUCCCUUCAUUAGAACUCUCCCCCUGAAGGGAAUUCUGGGCAUAGAAAGGGUGAGUUUCAAAAAAGGUAACAUCCAUAGAAAUGAAAUAUUUGUGCUGUUCAGGAGAAUAACAUCGAUAACCUUUUUGAGUGGCUGAGUAACCUAAAAAAAUACACUUAUGAGCUCUAGGAUCUAGCUUUGUUUGAGCCAAACUAUGGAUAUGGACAAAGGAAGUACAACCAAAGACUUUAAGUGGCAGAUCCGUACAUACUCGAGUGUGUGGAUAAUAUUGGAGAAACAUGUUAAGUGGAGUUUGGUAAUUAAGAACCUUAGAAGGCAUGCGAUUAAUUAAGUACGAUGCCGUAAGAAUAGCAUCUCCCCAGAAUUGUUUAGGUACAUUGGUAGUGAACAUAAGAGACCGUGCUACUUCAAGUAGAUGACGAUUUUUUCUUUCGGAGACACCGUUUUGUUGUGGAGUAUAAACACAAGAACUUUGGUGUAUAAUCCCAUGGUGUGAAAGAAAUUGACUAAGAGAAGUGUUAAAAAAUUCUCUACCAUUAUCAGUACGUAAAAUCUGAAUUUUGGCUUGGAAUUGUGUUUGGAUCAUGGAGUGAAAAUUUUUAAAGGUUUGUGCUGCGUCAGAUUUAUCCUUUAAUAGAUACACCCAACAGAUUCGUGUGUGAUCAUCAAUAAAAGUAAUGAAUCAUUUUAUACCCGUAAGGUUUGAGACACGAGAAGGUCCCCAUAUGUCACUAUGAAUCAUUGCAAAAGGUUUGGAAGGUUUGUAUGAUUGAGAAGGAAAAUAGGAACGCUGAUGUUUAGCCAAUUGACAUACUUCACAAUGAAUCAUAAGAGAAUCUUUAUUACGAAAUAAUUCAGGAAACAAAUUUCUUAAAUAUGGAAAGCUAGGAUGACCUAACCUACGAUGCCACAACAUUAUUUUUUGUUCCCUAGACAUAGAAAGAGAUCCACAGUCAGCAGUAUGAGCUUGUUUAUUCACGUUGAAAUCCUCAAAAUAGUAAAGUCCCCCAUGUUCCCUAGCACUGCCGAUCCUCCUCCCCGAAAUUAGGUCCUGAAAUUCACAAGAGGAGUGCGAAAAAUUAGCAACACAAUUAAGAUCUUUAGUGAUUUGGCUGACAGAGAGUAGAUUGCAAGAUAAUUUAGGAACAUGGAGAACUGAUUUGAGAAUUAUGCUAGGAGUAAUCUUUAUAGUGCCCAUCCCUGCAACAACUGAAAGUGAACCAUCAGCUAUCCUUACUUUAAAAUGAUCUGGACUAGGAGCAUAAGAAGAGAAAAAAUGAAUGCAGCCUGUCAUGUGAUCUGUGGCGCCAGAAUCAAUGAUCCAGGGAUCUGGAACCUUGGCAGAAGCAUGAAAAACUGUUGGGAUCUGGAAAAUACCUUUUUGGGCCAGCAAAGAGGACGAAGGAAUAGGAGUUAAAAGUUUUUGAAGCUGCUCAAGUUGUUCUUUGGUAAAUGAUGGAAUCACACUGCUUACACCUUCCUUUGGAACACUUUGAUCAGUGUCAGUUGCAGAUUGAAAUCCUUUUGGACUUCGCUUAUUGCCUCUAUUGUCUUUCCAAUUUGUUGGUUUACCAUGUAGCCUCCAACAACGCUCUUUGGUGUGAUUCGGUUUGUGGCAAUGAUCACACCACAGCUGGCCACCUUUGUUGGAAUUAUUAGAUCCCUGAACAGCCAAAGCAGACAUUUCAGGUGCUGUAAGUGAUUUUGGCUCCCCAAGCAUGACCCGUUUACGACUCUCUUCUCGUCUGACUUCAGCAAAGAUUUCUCGGAUGGAAGGUAAUGGUUUAGUGCCAAGUAUACGACCACGAACAUCAUCAAGCUCCUUAUUAAGACCAGCCAAAAAGUCAUAAAUUCGAUCUUUAUCCACCAGUUUUUUGUAUCGAGCACCAUCAUCAAUACACCUCCAUUCACACUCAUUGAAUAGAUCUAAUUCCUGCCAAAGAUUCUUCAGAGAGUUAAAAUAAUGGGUUACAUCCAUAUCACCUUGUUUCAAGUUCCGAGCCAUAUUCCUCAAUUCAAACAGCUGUGAUGAAUUUUCCAAAUCCGAGUAAGUUUCUUUGACAGCUUCCCACAGUUCAGCAGCUGUUUGGUAAAAUAAAUAUGUCUGCCCGAUGUUUGGUUCCAUUGAGUUAACCAGCCAUGCCAUAACGAUAGAAUUUUCAGCAUCCCAUGUUUGAAAUGCAGGAUCAUUUUCAUCUGGCCUUUGCUUUUGGCCAAGGAGAUAGCCAAGUUUUCCACGCCCUCGAAUUACCAUUUGAACAGAACGAGACCAUGGGAGAAAGUUCUUUCCGUUGAGUUUGUGGGAUGUAAUUUGAAGUGAUGUAUUUUCAGUAAUUGCAGUGUGAACAAUUGUAGGAGUUGACAGAGAAGGAAUCUGAGAUGUUUCAGCAGAUUCGGAAGAGUCAAUACUCCUACUUGUGCCAGUCAUGGCUGUUUUUACCAUGGUUUCCUUCAACUAAUACCUAGCUCUGAUACCAUGUAACAAAAUAUAGGAAGGAAACAGUAAACACUGCACUUUCAUAUUACCUUUAUUAAUCAAACUACAAGAUUAUAUAUAGGCUUGAAGCUAACAUAGACUAGAAGUCUUAUCUUAGCAAAGUCCUUUAUUCUAGGGAUAAAAACAAAAAAUAAGUAGAUAGAACAUAUCAUGUAAAACAACCACCAGAUAAGGAUAACUCUAUUUUUUCAAAUUCUGCCACAAAGAGAAAAGAAACCACAAUAAUUAAACAAAAUAUUAGGAACUAUUCUGAUGAGUUUUAAUCUCGAGAGGAACAAUUUUCAAAUGCAAAAUUUAACUGCUAGAGAAAUUGUAGCUUUUUGUCAUUAGUUAAGAGGAAAGAGAAUAAGAACUAUCCGGCCCUUUCCUUCAUGAAUGUGUGUUGAGGUUGCUGUAUUAUUUAGUCAGUAUUUGUAAUUUUCUUCCCUGCAGUGCUCUCUGCCUCCUGAAUUUGCUACUGAGUCCAUAUUUUUCUUUGAGCUGUUGCUUCCUAUUGCUGUUACAGGUACAAAUCUGGGCAAGCAAUAAGAUACACCGGGAGGAAAGGUCAUCAAUGGGAAAAUGGGAUGUCCAAUCCCUCAUCACAUCUUCUUCAGAUUUGUAUGGUCCAGAAAAGUCCGCUAGUGUUGAAAAAGUACCUAGGCAUGUAAAAUUUACUUUAAAGAAUCCUGUUAGGUGCCUAAUUGUUUGGAUCACAUUACGUCUUCAGAGACCUGGUUCGGCUUCAGUUAAUUUCGGGAAGGACUUUAGUCUUUUGUCUCUUGAUGAAGAUGAAAACCCCUUUGCACAAGUAGACAGACGUGCUUCAUUUGGAGGAGCAGUUGAAAAUGAACCAUGUAUUCAUGCCAAAAGAAUUCUUGUAGUCGGAAGCCCCGUAAAAAGGGAGGGGCUUACCUCAUCACAGAGCUCUGAGCAGCCAAGUAUUAGAAACUGGUUGGAUAGAGCUCCACAAAUGAGUAGAUUCAAGGUAUUAGUUGCUUUCACUCUUUGUUCAUUCAUAAUUCCAGCUUUCUGCUUGAUGCCUUGCCUCUGAUAAACCUCUUUUUUCUCUUCAGGUCCCAAUUGAGGCCGAGAGAUUGAUGGACUACGAUCAUAUUGUAUUUGAAAUUAAAAAAUAAAGAGAGAGAAAUUAAUUGUUAAUUGAGUUGGACAAUUUUCCGUGGUUAAUUGCAUCAAAUGGUAUACAAAAUUUUCAGCUAGAAAAAAUCUGCUCCCAGAAAAGAGAAGAAUGAGAUUGUGCUUCCUCAGACGAAGAAAGACUCAAACGUCUUCGCGCUAAUUAAUCAAUGAAAGAUUUUGUCAAAUAGCUGGCCCUUUCUUUCUUGAAUGUGUGUGUACAAGUUGCUGUGUCAUUUAGUCAGUAUUUGCAAUUUUCUUCGCUGUAGUGCUCUCUGCUUCCUGAAUUUAUAUUAUUGUGAUCUAGUUGCUGGGUGCAUAUUUUUUCUUUCUCGUUGCUGCAGGUUUGUCGUUGUCAAACAGAAUCAAGUUAUAUUAUUAUUGUGAUCCUUAUGAGCUUGGAAAAUGGGCAAGCCUUUUUGGAGUUUGAUCGUUAUUUAUAUGUCAGAGAAAGAGUUCUGGGUUUGAUUUUGAUUUGUAAUUUUUGUCAGUUUAUUGAAAAUUUUUUGUUGUAUAAAAGCAGAAUGUAAAGGUAUAAAAAUUCAUUGAUGCUGCAAUGUCUGUGCUUUUGAGAAAGAAGAAUUCAAUGUCUUUUCUAUGCCAUUGGAUUUUUCCACUGCUUGUAAACUUGGGCUGUCGAAUGCUCUGUGAACCUUAAGGGCUAAAGUAAUUUUCAAGACUGAAGGAUUUAUUAAUCGAGUUCAAAAGAUUGCAAGUUGGUGAGCGUUGGCAUUUAAAAAUCAAUUGUUAUUCUCUCAAUAAUCUCUCUUCUGCGCCAAUGUACUUUGACACCCCAAGCUCAGAGCCGGAACGCCAAUGUACUUUGAUUUCCCACGACCGAUACAGUCCCGACGAGUUUCAUUCAAGCUUCUUGGAGAUGUUACAGCAUUUGCAGAUGAACCUUCAGAACAAGAAGAUUCAGGAUUGAGAGCUCCGCUUGUGGCCACAGGUUCCAACAGAAUCAAGUUAUAUUAUUAUUGUGAUCCUUAUGAGCUCGGAAAAUGGGCAAGCCUUUCUGGAGUUUGAUCGUUAUUUAUAUGUCAGAGAAAGGGUUUUGGGUUUGGAUAAUAACAGAUAUUAUUAUUGUAUAAUAGAUAGGUUUAGAAAAAUUGAAGAACCAAGUAAGUUAUUAGAAAAAUGGGCUCCACCUGUAAUACAACGCUGCACCACAUACAUCGUUAUUGAAUUUUUUAUUUAAAAAUUAAUUGGCCUUUGGAUCGCACUCAAAAGUAAUCCAACGGAUUAUAUUUUUUUUGGCUAAUGUUGGCUACCGGAAGUAUCAGUUGCGAUUGAUUGAGAUGUGGUAUAAAUAAGAUAUUUUUUUUACCCGUUCUCUUUUCAUCUGUCUCUAAAGCUCAGGCAAUUGGUAUCCCCUUUUAAUGAAAAAAUUGAUGGUGUGGUGAGACUGGAAGUUGGUCGGCUUUCUCUGAAUCUCUUUCUCAAAUCCAAAAUUACAAAUUGACCGCCCAAGCACCAGCACUAAAUAGUAUAAUUUCAACGAAGAAUCAGCUCAAUCAACGAAGGAUCAGCCUCAAUCAACGCCCAGAACAAAAAUGUAGUUAAAGAAAUUUUCACCAGCAGCUUAAAGAAAACUAAUGGUAUGAAUUUUCAUAUUACUGUUGUGUUAUUUACCGUGUUUCAAAUCUAUGGAUACCUUUAGAAUCGUGAUUAAAUUCUCUUUCUAUAAGGUAAUUUCUUAAUUAGUUUGAAAAUUUUUCCUAUUGUCUUAUGUCUUUUUGAAGUCUGCAUUUUAAACAGAUCAAUUUAUUCUCACAAAGAAACAAUCUCAACUAACGAGACUAUGUAAGGAGAUUUCUAAUUCAAAGAAACCUACCCGUAACAGGUACGUCUUACCAAAUUACCAUAUAUCCUUUAGAAUUGCGAGUUAAACCAUUGGUAUAAUUUUUUAAUAUAGAAGAAUUUAUUAAUUGAAGGGUAUAAUCUAAUAAGCUGUGUGGAGAUAUGCUGACCGAAUGGGGAAAGAAUUAACAUGUGUUUAUAUGAUAUUCAUAUGAAGAGAAUGAAAAAGAAAAAGUUUAAAACACAGCAAUAAAGUAUAUUGUUUAAAUAGGAAAGUAAAAUUUGGUAAAAGAAAUAGAAUGAAAUAAGUAAUUUUUUUUUAAAUGUUAUAGGUUUUAAUGGAUGGAUUUACAAUGUUUUACAUAGGAAAACAGAUGGACAAUCAGCUACGCAAGCGUAAACGAGAAUCAAUAAACUUACAAAAGAGUAGUACUUGUCUUCCGAAAGUAAACAAUGAAAAUGCAGUUCCUAAAUCUUCAACAUAUGGAUUUGUCUCUCACUUGUAAGUAACUAUAUUCAUUUAUUAUUCGACACACAUACUAGAUAACUACUAAUUCAAUGUCAUGCAGUUGCAACGAUGAAGAAGAGCUUUUGAGAAGUGAUAAUUUUAAUUUGUCUACCACUAUUGGGGUCAGUAUAUGUAUAGAUAUUUUUUUAAAUUAGGAUGUUCAUUAAUGGCAAGUCACAAAUUAGUAUUUUUUUAAAAUUAGUAUGAGAAGAGCUUUUGAGAAGUCACAUGUAAAAAUUUUUAAUCUUUAUUACUUUUGUGACAGUUGAGGAAACACAGUAAGAAAACCAACAGAGAACUUUCAGCAGAACAUAAGGCAAGUCACAAAAAGCAAUGUGAAAGGAUUGGUUGUGCAUAUGCAUAUUCGGAUAACAAUGAAUCAAAACAUGUUAAGGCAGAUAAGUUCACCUUGGAAACUAGGUGUGCGCCUGACCGAUUUUGUUCUCUUGUUGGUAACUUAUCGGAAGACAAGAAAAUGCAAUAAGAGAUAUAGGAUUUGGAAGCCUACUUGAAAUCCAAUGUGGUCGACUGAGGAGGCAAUUAUGUCGUUGGUUAGUGGAUCAAUUCAAACCUGAAUGCAACAUUAUUGAACUUCAUGGUCAAAAUUUGAAACUGUGCCACAGAACAUUUUCAGAUGUCAUGGGUGUAAAAGAUGGAGGUAUACCAAUACAAUUGGGUGGACCAAGUGAAAAUAUUGCUGAAUUACGAGAUAUUUUUCAAUCAACAGUCAAAGGGAUCAACAUCAAGACGCUUGAGGAUAUUAUAAAGCAAGAAGAUAAAACCAGCUGGAUUUUCAAGGUUUGUAAUAAAGUUGAUUUUGGCACAUUUAUGCAUACACCCAUUAUUAUAUUAAAUCAUGAAUAUCUGUUAUAUUUCUUUCAUAUUAUAUUCUAUUCUGACACCAUUUGUAUUUUUUCUAUAAUAUUUGCAUGCAUAAUUGUAUAAAACAUUUAAAGUUACUGUGAAAUAUGAGCACAUAUCAGCCAUUUAUCAAACUCAUUCAUGUUUGUUAUUGUUCAUUUUACAAAUAGUAGUUUUGAUAUGAGCAGGUUGCGUUUACUUUGUUUGCACUAGCCACGUUGUUAUGCCCAACAAGUGGUUAUAUAUCGCAUUUGUUCUUGCAUCCGUGCAACGAUGUUCUCAAUGUUAAAUCACUUAAUUGGGCUUCGUUUUGUUAUAAAUGGCUGGCAAAAUCCAUUGGCAAAUAUAAGAAUCGUGAAACUACAUAUGUCGGGGGAUGUCUUCUUUUCCUACAGGUAAGAUGAUUUUCAUAAUUGAAUUUUAGCAUUUUUCUGGCCAUGGAUGGCUGUUUAUACAGAUUUUCUUAACUAUAAUAUGUUUAUACAGAUUUUUUACCUCCAUAAUGUUGCAUACAACUGCAUUCAGCCUGAUGGGACCAAAACUCCUGUGACAUUCUGGAAAGAAUCAAUGGUGAAGAGGUUCAUGAAGUGGUUGAGAUCUCAGGGAGGGAUUGGAAGUAAUAAGGUAAAUUUUAUUGUAGAGUGCUUAUCAUUAUAAUUACCAUAAUAAUGUGUAAGAAAUGGCAUUAUCCUUAUUUUUUGAUAUCAUUUAUCUGCUCAAUUAAACAGAUUCAGAUGCGUACCACUGAUACCGGUGAAGCUUCUCUAUCAAAAGUUGUUAGACAUCUCAAUUUUGAAGAAAUAAUUCAGAAACAAAUACUUUCAAUCAGGGUACUGACAUUUAAGGUUGAUUAUCUAUCUGAUGCGAUAUCUGACCAGACAAAAAUGCUAAAAGAAUUGCUACAUCAAAGGCAAAUUAUGGACCGAGUUGCCCCUCAUGUCCAUCAUCCUACCACAGAUAACAUUAAAACUCCUUCCCACGAGUUUGUGUCUGCUCAAGAAAAUAAUGUUGGGGCUGAGUUUAUUGAAAUCUCAUCAAAUGAAAGUUCAGCCCGAGGUUAUGAUAAGAUAAACUCUCCUUAUGAUGGCUCCAGCUUAAACACAAAAGAACGACAACUAUAUCAAAUAUUGAGGACAUUAGAAAUGGCUAUGGAUUGUGAAAAGACAGAUGCAUUACCCUCAAAGAAAAUGGAAAUGUCCAAGGGAAAACAAGAACUGAUUCUUAAGGAUUCUAAGGUAUUAAAGUGUCUUUGUUACUAUUGUUUUUAUAUUUAUCAUAAUUGUAUGUUGUGACAUUACCUCAGAAUAUGUGAAUUUUAAUUUUUUCUCUUUUGUAGGAGCGUCUUGUGAUGAUACAAUCAACUGCAAAGGGAAUGCAUAUUCAAACUUCUAAAAAAAAGAAUGUCAAUCUCAAGUCUACCCAACCCCGAUUUUUGGCUGGUCCAUUUUCAGUUCCCACUCCAUUUACCGAGGAUGAAAAAAAGCUUAUUCUUUACCUUUUUGACGACAAGUUGGCUGAAAUGUAUGGUCUAGUAAUAAUGAAAUGUUUUUGUAAAUGGCUAGAUUGUUUGGAAUAUAGAUAUAAAUCUCUUAAUCUUGCUUUUAUUCAUUGUAAUAAUGUUGUUUUUUCAUGGUAAAGGGAUGUUGUCGUCCGUACAGAAUACAGCAGCAUAACACGGAGCAGUAUGCGUUCCCUCUUGCCGAGAGCAUGGAUUGAUGGUGAUGUAAUACUCUAUGCCUACUAUGUAUAAUAUUUAGGAUUCAUUCAAUACUAAUGAUGCCAUUAUUUUCAAUUAGUAUCUAUGUGCAUAUCUCUUAACUAAUGUUCCACUUUGGUCGCAACUGUUAAAAAAAAAAUUUCAGAUUAUUACUAUGUACGCAGAGUACAAGACUAUUGAAGAGGCCCAAAAGGAUAUCACCUCUCCUCGAUGUUGGUUCUUGCCGUCAUAUUAUUCCGUAAGAUAACCAGAAAUUAAAUAUUUUUAAUUCAAUCAUUAGUCUUUAAAUGAGAUCAUGCAGAUUGUCAACUAACAAAAUGUUUUUAUUCUUUUAAUUUUUGCCUCUUAAAUUUAAAGCAAGUUGUAUUGGGUGACUCAGGUGAUCUAAACCCCUAUCGUCGAGCUUCUAGGUUCCAAGAGCGCUACAUGCCCCAAUUGGAAACCUGUGAAAAGGUUUAGCGCAUAACAUGAAUUUUUUUUAAUGAACUUUUUGUGGUUUGUAUUUUUACAUAGUUCCUUGGUAUCUUUUUCAUUUUACUAACCUGAUAACAAAACAUUUUGCCAUUAAUUGUAUUUACUCUCCUACAACUGCAGAUUUAUGUGCCCAUACAUUGUGAAGCUCAUUGGUACAUGCUUGUUAUUGACAUUCUUCGUCAAACUGCUGAUAUUUGGGAUUCAUUGGAAUCUCUCAGUCAAAGAGAAAAAAUGAUUAAUCAGUCAUUGACAAUUGUAUGUUCUUUGGAGGAUUGACUACAUUUGAGCGUUAGUUGGAAUUUGAUUAAAUAACAUUCUAACUUUUGUUAACACUUAUUCUGGUUGAUGUUGGCAGCUCGCCUCACUGGAUUUUUUGCUACUUAGAGAGGCUCGACUUCGUUUUGGUUCAAAUUUCAAUUUUCUGCAUUUUCAACUUGGUCGUCAAACUGGUCUGCCACAACAGCCAAAUGAUUUUGAUUGUGGAUACUAUACCUUGAAAUAUAUGGACAAUCCCUCUAUUGUUGCUGACCAGUCUUAUCAGGUAUAUGCUUUUUUUUUUCAAUCUUGAACAUUGAUGAUUCUGAUAUUUAGUUCAUGAUCAAUGCUUUCUUCAGACCAUUUAUCAGUCAUUAUGUUUAAUGAUUCUGUAUUUAGAUUAAUAACAAUGAUAACAGAGGAGUACUACAAAGAAGUAAGAAAUAUUAAAGUUUUCUUUAUGAAGAGUACUUUUAAGGCAUAACUAGGAGUACUCGAUAAUAUUUUUUUUUCCUUUUAAGGAUGUAUUAAGCAAGCUGUUUUUAGAAGAUAUCUAGUUUUGAAAGCAAGACAUACUUUUUAGCGAGUAAACAAGCACCUAAAAAUGUGAAUUGUUAAAAAUCUGCAUAUGUAAAAGGCUAAGUAUUUAUAUUUAAGAAGUAUUAUUAUAUGUUGCAAGUCAACUACCUUUUGUGAAAAAAUAAGCUUGCUGCUAGUAAUUAGGUAACAACCACUGGAGUCGUGAACUAUGUGGACUUUGUUAUUUUUAUAUAAAUUCAUCUUGUGAGCAUAUAGAAAUUGUUGUAAUUAGUGUUUCUUUUUUGUUAGCACGAUUCAGAUUAUGCUCGCAUCCUGUUGGCACUCUAUCUAGCACAAUCUCCACUUAAUGAUAUUAGGCAUAAACUCAUGCAAGAUGCUUCCAAUGGAUAUGGAAAGUGUAGUGCUGCUGACUCGCAAAGGGCCCCUUGUAAACAAGCUUCAGAAUUAAGAAAAGCUGCCAGAAAUAUUAAUCUUAACCAGACACCGUCCGAGGCUUUAUUAAAAACAUUACUAUGAUCUCUAAAGGUAUGUUAAGUCGCUUGUCAUUCCCAUUUUUGAUCUUAUGUCCUACGCUUAUCAAUUGUUAUUAAGUUGUUUUUUCUAUUUCUUUUAGUGAGUUAUGAUGUUUUUGGUAGACCAAUUAAACUUGUUAUUAAUCAUCUGCUUGUGUUUUUUAGAAAAUUGUUACGUAGUUCCACCGAAAAUUAGGAAUAAUUUACCAUGAACGAGAUAAAACUAACAUAAAGAACGCAUGUGAUAGUUUAUUUUGAAAUAUGUACCCCUAAUGUCAGAAUUUCGUAAUAAAUAUAGAAAUAACAAACCAAAAAAUGGAGAAACCAUAAGUAGAGGAAUCAAACCAAAAAAUUGAAAUUUGUUAACAACAAAUUGAUAAAGAAAAUGGAAAAGUCGGUAAAUAUGAAUAGAACUUAAAAGUUCCACACAAAAGUUGUAAUUCAGUUGAAAGAUUUACAAUAUAUAACCAAUGAAUUGUUGGGAAAAGAGAUAAGUAGCUUAACUCAUAAAUAGAAAUAACUCACCACAAAUUGGGUAAAGAUUAACAUAAAAAAGGUUGUAAUAAUUUAACUUGAAAUAUGUACCCAUAAUGUUAGAAUUCAGUAGGAAAAGUAGAAAUAUCUAACCAAAAUGUGAGGAAAAAAAUAGUACAGGAGUGCAAUGGAAAAAUUAGAAUUUAUUGACAAAAAAUCGAUAAAGUUGAUGGUUAAGUUGGUAAAUACGAAUAAAACUUUAACUUCCAUAUGAAAGUUGAAAUUCAUUUAAAAGAGUUGGAAUAUUUAGCCCAUAAAUUAUUGAGAAUAUAAUUAGGUAGUUCACCCCACAAUUAGGAAUACUCGACCACAAACUGGAUAGCGAUUAACGCAAAGAACGCAUUUGAUAAUUUAAUUUGAAGUAUGCACCCAUAAUUUCAAAUUUCAAUAAUAAUAGUUGAAAUAAGCAACCAAAAAUUUGAGAAACCAUCACUACAGAAAUCCAACCAAAAAUUUGGGAUUUAUUAAUAAUAAAUAGAUAACAUAAAUGGUAAAGUUGGUUAAUGGAAAGACAACUUGGAAUUUCUACACAAAUAUUGUAAUUCAUUUAAAAAAUUUAAAAUAUACAAAUAAUGAAUUGUUGGGGAGAAGAGUUAAGUAACUGAACCUACUAUUAGGAAUAAGUAACAAUAAUUUGGAUACAAUUAACGCAAAAAAGGAAUAAAAUACUUAACUUGAAAUAUGUACCAAUAAUGUUAGAAUUCAAUAGGGAGUAGAAAUAUGCAAGUAAAAUAUGUUGAAAACAGGAGUCGAAUAGCCCAACCAAAAACUUAGCAUUUAUAACUGCAAAUUGAUAGCGUAUAACGUUAAAUAGGUAAAUGUGCAGAUGACUUGGAACGUCCACGCAAAAGUUGGAAUUCAAUUGACAGGUGGAGAAUACAAAUAAUAAAUUGUUAGGAAUAGAGAGUUAGGUAGCUAAACGUAUUAGUAGGAAUGUCUUACCACAAAAUAAAGAUGAUUAACCGGAAAAAGAUAUAUGGUAGUCUAACUUGAAACAUUUACCCAUAAUUUUAGAAUUCAAUUAAAAUAAUAGAAACAUAAGACCCAAAAAUAGAUGAAACAAGAUUGGAAAAAAUUAUCCAAAACUAAGAAUAACAAACCAAUUUUUUGAUAAAUUAGAGUGGGAAGUCGGAUUCUAUAAAGCGAACUUAGAAUAUUCACCUAAAAUAAUGGAAUUCAAUUAAAAAGAUAGGAAUAUAAGAGUCAACCUAUCAUGCAAGGAAUGUUGGCUCUACAAUUGGAAUAUAAAACAAAAAAAUUGGUGGAAAUAAGAGGUGAAGAACUUAAUCUAAACGUUGGGACAAUUUACUAAUGAUUUGAUAAAUUUUAAUGGGAAAUAUAAAUGUAAAAAUGAACUUGAAACAUUGACAUAAAUGUUGGAAUUCAAUAAAAAUUAUAGGAAUAUACAACCACAAAAUGGUGGGAAAAAAGUGAGAGUCAACCAAAAAGUUGAAAUUUGUAAACCAUAAUUUGAUAAACUUCAAAGGAAUUUUAGAUGAAAAAUGGACUUGAAACUUCUACCAAAAAUAUUGGAAUUCAUUAAAAAAAGAUGAAAUAUAAAACAAAAAAUUUGUGGGAAAAUAGUUGAUGAACUUAAUCUAAAAAUUGUAAAAGAAUUUCCAAAAAUUUGGUAAAUUCUAAUUGCAAGUAGGAAUAUAAAAUCAAAAAGUUGUGAGAGGAACAACCGCACCCAAAAUUGGUAAAAACUCACCAAGAAUUUGAGUACUUUUAACUAAAAGUAGGGAUGCAAAAUGUAAACUCGAAAAUUCGACCUAAAAUAUUAAAAUUUAACAAAAAGAGUAUAAGUAUAAAACCAAAAAGUAGUGGGAAAAAUAGUUAAAAAACUUAACCUAAAAAUCGAAAUAAAUUACCAAGAAUUUGAUAAAUUUAAACGAGAAGUAGAAAUCUAUAAAGCAAACUUGAAAUAUCUACUUAAAAUGUUGGAUAUUAAUACAAAGAAUAGGAAUAUAAAACCAAAAAGUAGUGGAAAGAAUAACCUCACCCAAAAUUGGGAACAACUCAAUCACAAUUUGAGUAAUUUCAAUUGGAAGUUGGGAUACAAAAAGUAAACUUCAAAUCUCGACCUAAAAUAUUGAAAUUCAACAAAAAGAGUACCCAAAAGUUGUACAAAGAACAAUCCAACCUAAAAUUAGGAACAAAACAUCGAAUAUUUGAGUAAUCUACACUAGAUGUAAAGUUACAAAAAGUAAACUUGAAAUUUCGAACUAGAAUAUUAAAAUUCAACACAAAGAGUAUACAUAUAAAACCAAAAACUGGUGGAAAUCAGAGUUAAAGAAUUUAACCUAAAAGUAGAAAUAAAUUACCAGGAAUUUGAUACAAUUCAACUAGAAGUAGGGAUGAAAAAAGCAAACUUGAAACAUCGACUUAAAAUGUUGGAUUUUAAUACAAAGAGUACAAAUAUAAAACCAAAAAGUAGUGGCAAGAACAACCUCACCCAAAAUUCGGAACAACAGAACCAGAAUUUGAGUAAUCUCAACUGGAAGUUGAGAUUUUUAAAGUAAACUUGAAACCUUGACCUAAAAUAUUAAAAUUCAACAAAAAGAAUAUAAAUAUAAAACCAAAAAGUUGAGCAAACAAGAGUUAAAGAGGUUAACCUAAAAGUAGAAAAAAAACUUACCAAGAAUUUGAUACAUUUCAACUAGAAGUAGGGAUUAAAAAAGCAAACUUGAAACAUCGACUUAAAAUGUUGGAUUUUAAUACAAAGAGUACAAAUAUAAAACCAAAAAGUAGUGGCAAAAAAAACAUCACCCAAAAUUCGGAACAACUCAACCAGAAUUUGAGUAAUCUCAACUGGAAGUUGAGAUUCCAAAAGUAAACUUGAAACCUUGACCUAAAAUAUUAAAAUUCAACAAAAAGAAUAUAAAUAUAAAUCCAAAAAGUUGAGCAAAAAAGAGUUAAAGAGGUUAACCUAAAAGUAGAAAAAAACUUACCAAGAAUUUAACAAUUUAUAACGAGAAGUAGAAAUUUAAAAACCAAACUUGUAACAUUCACUUAAAAAGUUGGAUUUUAAUAAAAAGAGUAGGAAUAUAAACCGAAAAAGUUGUGGAAAUAAGAAUUAAAGAACUUAACCUAAAAGUAAAAAAUAAAUUACCAAGAAUUUGACAAUUUUAACGAGAAGUAGAAAUCUAAAAAGGAAACUUGAAACAUCCACUUAAAAUGUUGGAUUUUAAUACAAAGAGUAGAAAUAUAAAAUACAAAAGUGGUGGAAACAAUAGUUAAAGAACUUAACCUAAAAGUAGAAAUAAAUCACCAGAAAUUUGAUAAUUUCAACGAGAAGUAAGGAUUUAAAAAGUAAACUUGAAACAUCCACUUAAAAUGUUGGAUUUUCAUAACAAUAGUAGGAAUAUUAAACCAACAAGUGGUGGGAAGAAAACCCCAACCGAAAUUUGGAACAAGGUCAUAGAAUUUGAGUAUCUUAAACUGAAAAUUGAGAUACAAAAGUAAACUUGAAACUUCGACCUAAAAUAUUAAAAUUCAACAAAGAGAGUGUAAAUAUAAAACUAAAGAGUGGUGGAAACAAGAGUUAAAAAUCUUAACCUAAAAAUAAAAAUAAAUUAUCAAGAAUUUGACAAAUUUCAACGAAAAAUAGAAAUCUAAAAAGUAAACUUGAAAAUUUGACUUAAAAUGUUGGAUUUUAAUACAAAGAGUAGGAAUAUAAAACCAAAAAGUGGUUGGAAGAAUAACCUAACCCAAAAUUGGGAACAAAUCAACAAGAAUUUGAGUAAUUUAAACUGGAAGUUGGGAUACAAAAAGUAAACUUGAAACUUCAACUUAAAAUAUUAUAAUUCAACAAAAAGAGUAUAUAAAUAUACUACCAAAAAGUAGUGAAAAUAGGAGUUAAAGAACUUAACCUAAAAGUAGAAAUAAAUCACCAUAAAUUUGAUCAAUUUUAACAAGAAAUAGGGAUCUAUAAAGUACACUUGAAAUGUCCACCUAAAAUGUUGAAAUUCGAUAAAAAUAAUAGAAACAAAUAACUAAAAAGUUGUGGCACAAGAGUUGAAAUUUCGACUUAAAAGUUGGAAUUACUUACUAAGCAUUAAAUAAUUUUUAAUGAAAAGUAGGGAUCUAAAAAAUUAACCGAAAAUAUUCACCUAAAAUGUUGGAAUUUAAUAAAAAAAAGAGGAAUAUAGAACUUAAGUGUGAUGAGAAGAUGAGUUGAUAAACAUAACCUAGAAAUUGGAAUAACUUACACAUAAUUUAACAAAAAAAAAAACAAGUAGAGAUCUAAAAAUGAACUUGAGACUUCCACCCAAAAUAUUUGAAUUUUUUAAAAAGAAUAGGAAUAUAGAAUUUAUAAGUCGCAGGAAUAAAAGUUGAUGAACUUAACCGAAAAGUUGGAAUAAGUUAUAAGGUAUUUGGUAAAUUCCAAUGCGAAGUAGAGAUCUAAAAAGUAAACUAAAAACAUUUAUUCAAAAUCUUGAAACUCAAUCAAAAUAGUAGGAUUGUAAGAUAUAAAAGUGGUGGGAAAAUGAGUAGGAACAAGUUACUAAAAAUUAGAUAAAGUUUAAUGGAAUGUAGGGAUAAAAAAUGUAAAAUUGAAAUAUCUACCUAAAAAGUUAGUAUUUAAUGAAAAGAGUGGAAAUAUGAAAGAAAAGACUAGUAAAAAAUGAGUUGAAACAAGUUACGAAAAUUUAGAUAAAUGAUAAUGAAAAUUAGGAAUUUCAAAAGUAAACUUGAGACAUAUAAUAUAAGUAUUGGAAUGUAACAAUAAAAAAUUGAAAUAUGACUAUUUUGUGAUAUUUUUAUAAUAUUUUUAUUAAUUUUUAUGCUAUUUAUAAAUUUAAAAUUAUUACAAUUUUUUUUAUCUCAUUUGAAGGCAUUUUUAAAAUUUUCCCUUUUUUAAAUAAAAAUUUCAUAUUAAAAACAAUUAAAAAUUUUAAUUUGCAUUUAUUAACCGGUUGAAAACCGGUUGUACCGGUACCAUGCAUGCGCUGCAUGAGAUGCAGCGCUGCAUGGUAGGUUGACUCAGAAAAAUGACGAGUACGUGUCAGGUUUGAUUAGUCAUAUGAAGAGUACGUGUCAGGUUUGAUUUUCAUGUGAUUUGGUUAAUGACGACGAAAACGACGACGUCCUAGUUGAAAAGCGUUUGAAUUAAUGUUGCGUAAAAAAAAUAAACUUGUUCCACUAAUUAAGUCAACAUUACUGAUGUCUUAUCACCCUCGGCCAACUUAACAAUUGGUGUCCUUUGGACAAUUAAAUAUGAUUUAUUCAAAAAAAAAAAUGAAACAAUUAAAUAUGAUCACGUACUGAACUUUAAUUUGUUAAAAAUUAGGUCCAAUAAUAAUAAUACUAAUAAUUAAGAAGAUCGAAUUACAUAUCAAAAUGACUCAAACAAAUUAAUUAAUUUUAUAUUAGCUAGCGAAGUAGGUUGUCCAUCCCACUCAGACAUGCACGAAAGCUAAAUUCAUCAAAUGAAUUACUUAAAAGGGAUCACUUAAAAUUAUCAAAAGGUGUUAUACUAUUAAAUAUUUUUAUACUUAAAAUUACUUUAAAAUUAUAAUUUCAAAUUAAAAUAGGAGUAGCAAAAUCGUAGUGGACAUUCAAUUAACCAACUAAUAGUCUAAGAAGCAAAAGAGAGGAUUACAAGUUCACAACACCAUUAAUUCCCACACGAAAAACCCCUUCAAUGGAUUGCUUGCCUUCCCAAUGCUAUAUACUGUGCAAACUGCGCACUGUCCAAGAAAAUGUUUUCAAUUUAGUGUAUUUUCAAAAUGCUUAUUUUCUCAGAAUAUAAAAAAGUUAAAACAUGUAAUCUUCAGAAGCAUAUAAUAAAAGAACACUUCCACAAAUUACUACAAUUUCAUGCAGUAGAGAUUGAAGAGUUGAAUUCCACUUGUAGACAAAGACCUUUUGUUUUGUCUAAUGUUAAUAAUGAAAACAACAACAGAGGAUUAACUGAUGCUUUGACUUAUUAGCAGAUUGCAAUGAAUUAUUGACUGAUGCUUUGACUUAUUAGUUCUGCAGCUAAGUUAAAUAAAAUAAGGUAUUUUCAAAAGCAAAAUGGAAUACAUAGAUAAAACAUCAUCUUAAACAAAUCACAAUCCAGAAUUAGAGCAUUUUCAACAUACCUAAGGAAAAAAGAAUACGUGAAAAUGGGUGAUUCAUUUGCUAAGGAGUGUUGAUUUGGUCGUCUCUGCAAAUUCUUUAGGGACUCGGUUCCAGUUCCUCUACAUCUGAAGUUCCACUCGUGCUAGGCAAAUCAUCCAAUUUCCAAACUUCGGUAGCAAAAUUGAUAGUAAAAGUGUUGUCUUUGGUCUCGCUGGGAUUUGCAUAUACUGGACAUACUCCGCAACGUUCUAUCUUGCAACCCUUCAGGUUACUCUUAGCGAAGAACUUAACUGUGGCAGUUGUAUGAUUGUAACAAUCAGGAAACCCAACAUUCAAGCAAGGUUUAAAACCAAGUAUGACAUGAUCUGAAUCAAUGAGGUCUUCAAUAAAGCGCGAAUUGUAACCCAGAUCAACAUGUUUGGUUUCAGAGAGAGUCUUUAUUUCUAAGUCGAAUUGACACUUGACGUAAAAAUAACGAAAACAAUCAGAAUAAACUUGCUUUAAAUCAGGAACAGCACAACAACAGAGGAUUAACUGAUGCUUUGACUUAUUAGCAGGUUGCAAUGAAUUAUUAACUGAUGCGUUGACUUUCAAAAGCAAAAUGGAAUACACAGAUAAAACAUCAUCUUAAACAAAUCACAAUCUAGAAUUAAGAGCAUUUUCGACAUACCUAAGGAACACGAAUACGUGAAAACGGGUGACUCAUUUGUUAAGGAGUGUUGAUUUGAUCGGCUCUGCAAAUUCUCUUGGUUCUCGGUUCCAAUUCCUCUUCAUCCGAAGUUCCACUCGCGCUUGGCAAAUCAUCCAAUUUCCAAACUUUGGUAGCAAAAUUGAGAGUAAAAGUGUUGGCUUUGGUCUCGCUGGGAUUUGCAUAUACUGGACAUAAUCCGCAACGUUUUAUCUUGUAAACGUUUAGGUUACUCUCAGCGAAGAACUUAAAUGUGGCAGUUGUAUGAUGGUAACCAUCAGGAAAGCCAACAUUCAAGCAAGGUUUAAAACCAAGUAUGACAUGAUCUGAAUCAUGGGGGUCUUCAAUUGAGUGCGAAUUGUAACCCAGAUCAACAUGUUUGGUGUCAGAGAGAGUCUUUAUUUCUAAGUCGAAUUGACACUUGACGGAAAAAAGAUGAAAAUCAGAAUAAACUUGCUUAAAAUCAGGAACAGCACAAAAAGCAAACCCGAUUAAGUUUCUGCAAAAAGAGUGCGGUGGCAGUUGAAUACAUAUCGAAUAUCCUGAACUUUGAUUGCUGAACCAGUCAGGAAUUUCUCUUCCAGGUAAAACAAUUAGGGAUCCCCUCAGUUCAGAAAGUUUCUGUGAGAUGACAUUUAAAAAAAGAAAAUUGUAAAAUGAAAACCAUGAUUUCAGAUAUAACAAAGAGGGACAGAGUAAACAAGAGAGGGAAUUUGAUACCUCGUUGAUUGCCUUUUCAUAGCCCAGUCUCAGUGAUGCAAUUGCCAUACCCCGAAUUAUUAGUAGUGAAUCUGCCAAAAUCUUGUUGUUUGCUUUUCCAUCAAGUUUCAAGCAGUUAGUAAACUCAAAACAAAUUGCUGCUGACUCCAGAGAUUGAAUAAGGUCAGGAGAGGGUUUCGAUAGCUUUUCUAGUAUGGAUGCAUCUAGUUCUUGCAGACAUGACGGAAUCUCUGGCAAAGAUUGAAGCCGCUUGCAGUUCGUUGCAUCUAGUUCUCGUAGACACAAUGGAAGUUUUGGUAAUGACCGAAGCAUGUUACAAUCCCUCAAGUAAAGACUUUUUAGACACAAUGGAAGUUCUGGUAAUGACUGAAGCAUCUUACAAUCCCUCAAGUGAAGAGAUUUUAGGCGCAAUGGAAGUUCUGGUAAUGACUGAAGCAUCUUACAAUCGCUCAAGUCAAGAGAACGCAGUCGCGACAGUUGCUUGAUGCUUGCAGGUAAACUCUCAAAGUUAUUUUCACGUAGAUCCAAGCUUGUCAGUGAGGAUAAACCUAAUAAUAAUGAUCGAGGCAAUGAUACCAAACCUUUGCAUCUAGAGAACUCAAGAAUUCUAAGUACGUUUGAAUCUGCAACAGAGGAUGGUAGUUGACUAAUAGCUGAUCCAACUGCUGAGAUGGCCUGCAAAGAUUCUAAAUUGCCAAUGUUAUCCGGCAACUUAUCAAGUUUAGAGCAAUCAUCUACGGACAAUGAUUCAAGCCCCGGUAGAUUUUCAAAUGACGAUGGCAGCUCUGUAAUUGCCGUCCCGUCUAAAUUGAUGCGUUUUAAAUGUUCCAUUUUCUCCAAGAUUUCUGGGAAGCGCUCAAGGUUCAAGCAGCCAUUAACAAAAAGAUCAACCAAAGAUCUCAAUUUACAAAACCUAGUUGAAAUCCUCUUCAGCCGUUUGCAAUCCCUCAAAUACAACACUUCAAGAUCAGUUAGGCACUCUAUUGAUGAUGGAACUUCUUCCAUUGCAGACUGGCGUAAGUAUAGCUGUGUAAUUUUCCCAGAAAUCUGUGGAAACUCUAUGAGAUUAACACAAUAGGAGAAAUUAAUAGUUACUGGACAAACAAAAUGAAGAUUGCUUGGAAAAGACCUAAGACUUUUGCAGCCCUCAAAAGACAACGCACUGAGAUACUUGAAAUUCUGGAUAGAUGAGGGAACACAAGCCUUUUCUCCUUCCCAAGGUUGCUCAACUUUACUAAAACGCAAAUUCAGUUCAACAAGGUUCUUUGGCUUGAAAUUUGAUGGCAGUGUCCUUAAUGGAUAUGUGUCCCAAUGAAGAUAUCUCAAUUUUUCAGGAAGAUAAUCUAGGCCAUUUGGAAGCUGCACUUUAGAGUAUGAAAGUUGCUCUUCAAUGCUCAUACUUAGAAGAUUUUCAAUCUCAUACUUAGGUACAUAAAAUUUGAGCAAUCUCAGAUUAGACAUAUUUGUGAAGGCUCCGGGGUCUAAAUUGAUGCCUUUUAUUUUGGACAAAUCCAGAAAUAUGCCUUCAAUUGCAUCGGUCCCCUUAUAAAAAAAAAAAAAAAAAAACAAAGAAUGGGUAAGCCUAAAAUAGAAAAGAAACAUUCGUGAACUUUAUUAACUAAGGGGAUAUUAUCAUUUUCCCGCCGACACAUCAUGUCAGUACCACGGUUUGGUAAAACUAUCAAUUUACCACCAAACAUUUAAACUCAUUCCGUUAAACUGUUAGCAUUUUCCCACCAUUCUGUUAAAACUCAGUUAAUAUGUAACAGAAAUUUCCUAAAAGGUCAAUUUUACCCCUGAAGCAUAAAAGACCAUGUAAUUAACCUUUUAUGAAUUUUGUAAUUAAAUCAUCAUUUGUUGUUCUUCAUUCUUAAAGGACAAAAAUUACCCUUUAUAAAUUUUGUAAAAUUGACCGUGUGGUGUUAGGUACUUCAUAAAUUGAUUUAAUUUUUAAAGAGCAAAUUUAUUUAUUUAAUUUUUUUUUAUAAAAUUAUUAUCAUCAUAUCAAAGAUUAAAUUGCUUCUUUUGCACAUUCUUUUUUUUUCCCUUUCAUAAAUUGAUUUUUAGUAAUAGAAUAAAUUGUCUUUAGCUCGUCAAUUUAAUUAAUAAAUUAAAGCUAAAAGGAACAUUUAAGCUAAAAGGAGUGAUUGGAGGCAGAACUAGGUGGGCCAAUCAGUCCAUUUUAUUAGCAACUGUUGCUUAAAAAAAAUUAUACUCUAAAAUACACUUACUUUUUAAAAAAAAUAUAAUUAUAUUAAAAUAGAACCAGGUGGGCCAAUUCUCAUGGCACUCACUUUGUUAUGACACUCUUCACUAAAUUUGAAGAGAAAUAAAAUUAUACUCUUCCCACUCUUAUUCAACAUUCCAAAUUUGAUAAAAUCUAGAGUUUUCUUUAAAAAUUUAAAAUUUGAAGACUUGUUUUCUUGACACCCUCAGUCAUUAAUUUUACCUAAUUAUGGUUUUUAUGAUUUUGGUUGUUUUGUUCAUAAAAUAAUUUUACUAAAGGAUGUUCUCGUAAUAAUAAAAAUUAUAAAAAAAACAUGGGUGUGCUGGUAUGGUUGGAGAAAUAUGAGUGCAUAACUCCAAACAAAUAAAAGAUAUAUAUAUAUAAACGGAAGAUUCUUACCUUAUUAUGCUUUAGUACCCGGCGGAUUUCCUUAGGAUCCCACAACCUGUUGCGUUUGCCUGGCUCUUUCUCAGAUUCUUGGCGAACAAUUUGUCGCCCCAUUUCUUGCAAUAUAUCAUGCAUUUGCAACAAUUUGUCGCCCCAUUUCUCAGAUAUUGAUAUGAGUGACUUAUCAAUAAGGACAUCCAGUCCAUCCGACUCAGAAUCAUCAAGAAUCCUUGCCACAAAAUCUUUAUCCUCUCCCUCAAAGAAACACGCAAUAUCUAGAAAUAUGCUCUGCACCCUGGGCGUUAAUUCAUCAAAACUAAUCUUUAAUUUCUUAUAAAUAGCAUGAAUAUCAGAUUCACAAAUCCGAUUUAAGUCGUCCAAUACUUUUCCCCAAUGGCUUUUCCCCUUGAGGGAGGAACCCAACACUUUAAGAACUAAUGGAUUGCCAUCAGCAUACUUUACAACUCUCCGUGAGUCAGGUUUGAAAUCUUCAGGACAAUGCUUUUCUUUAAAAGCGAAGUUACAAAAAUGCUCGAAAGCCUCAUGAAAAUCCAUUCCAUUAACCCUAUAUAUUUUCUUCUCCUCCACUCCAAAUUUUUCGAGGACUCCUUUAUCCCUAGUGGUUACAACAAUUCUACUUCCUGGACCAUAUUGAUCAAGCUCUCCAAUCAGACCCUCUAAUUGUCCAACUUCAUUCACAUCAUCGAGUACUAUCAACACCUUCAUACGCCGGACCCUCUCUUUAGUAAAAUGUGGAAUAUUGGCACCAGCUACUUCAAGUUUUUCGCUUAAUAUUGUUGAAAGCAUUUCCUUUUGUAGGUCUUCUAGGCCACCCUCUGUUUCUGAUUUUCUCCUAACAUUUUUUGCAAAGUAUUUACCAUCAAACUCACCAGAGAAUUGAUCGAAAAUAGCUUCGGCAAGGGUGGUUUUGCCGAUACCACCCAUGCCCCAAAUUCCAACAAUUUGGACAGUAUCCGACAAAUCCAUACACAAAAAUGGUUUAAUCUGCUCAAUUCGUGAAUUUAAUCCAACUAGGCCGUUGGAUGAGUCCGUUGAGACUGUUAUUUUUUCCAACUUCUUCAAAACAUCUUCGACAAUUUUGUUUACAAGUUCCGCAUCGUGCCUAAUAUAAAGGUGCAAAGAUGCAAAAACAUUGAGUCAAAUCGGGCCAAGACAGAAACAGAGAUAAGAUGAAUUAGGAAAGAGAGUUACCUGAAUUUCGUGGAUUCGUGGCCAGCAAGACCGGAUGUUUCUCUCAGUGCAUCCCUCCACCUCUGAACCAUUUCUGGUUUAUCUUUGAACUUCUGUUCUAGCUUGUAAAAACCGUCCCCAAAAACUCCGGUUUGAUGCCGCACAUCGGAUGGACUUACUCCAUAGAAAACCGGAAUAUUGAUUUGGCCGUUUGUGUGCUUGCAUUCAAGAAUCUUGACAAGUUCAUUCAGGCACCAUUUUGAAGAAGCGUAGUCCUUUGAGAAAAUGACCACCGAAAUUUUUGAACCUUGGAUUGCGUUCAAAAGGGCAUCUGAAAUCUCAUCUCCUCGCCUGAGCUUUUCAUCAUCCAUAAAUGUUUUGAUUUUCUUUUUGUCAUACAAAUCAUCAUAGAGAUGGCAAGUAAAGAUCCUACGAGUGUCCUCCCCUCUAAAAUUGAGGAAGACUUCAUAAAUGCAAGAAGAAGAAGAAGAAGAAGCAGCCAUGAAGGAAAUUUUAGAAAAUUGGUGACAGAAACAGAGAAUUAAUGUUGAGAGUUGAGAGAGGAGAUGUAAGAAUGAACAUGUGUGAAGAUUCUUGCAAGCACACACUAAAUAAUUGAAUGGCUGGAGCUUUCUUAGUCUCCUGGAAAUUUCCUGGAGCUUUCAUAUACAUGAUUUGUCAAGUCAAGAAACAUAAUCAUGAUAAUGGGGCAGACCAGGAAGAAAAGAAAAUUUGAUUCAACCAAUAAAGGAAGGAAAAGCAAAGAAAGAAAAUUUGAAAGUAGAUUCAGAGAAUUAUAAAAAGCUAAAGGAAAUUGGAAUUUUGUACAAUUUCUCCAGCGAGGAACUUUCACUGUCAUUACCUCACCGUUAGAGUUUGGAUUAAGAUUUGAGGGUGCAGGCAUUUACCUAGAGUUUACCUCCGCACUAAAUUCUUAAGUUUUGAAAAUUAUGAAACCUUUAUAUUGGGAGAUAUUGUAAUCGAAUCAAAACUUAAAAUUUUUAUAAUGUUAAUAUUUAAUCUUUCAAAAAACAAUAACCUCGCCGUUGUAGUUUGGAUUAAGAUUUGAGCAAUUAUUUACCUAAAUUUUACCUCCGUCUGUAAAUUCUUAAGUUUUGAAAAUUAUGAGACCUUUAUAACCGAAUCAAAAUUUUGAAUUUCAAUAUUAUUAUUCUUUAAAAUUUUUUUUGAGAUAACAGAGUGAUUGAUAGUAUAGGAGAACUUGUCUAGGCAAGCACAUGCAUACACAGAAACGUGAUGGAUUCAAAAAGAAAUUAAAGUGAUAAUGCGAAAUCGCUUGGUGGCCUAGUAAAAUUACAACCGAAUUUUUUUUUUUAACAAAAUUCAAGCUCAUAAAUGACAAAAGCUAUUUCAUUUCCCUUUCACACGUCAUUAACUUUUGUAACACGGUGUGUGCAUCGUCAAGUGAGGCAAAAGGGUUUCGAUUAUAGUGGGAAAACAUGAACAAGAAUGCAUAAUGAAUAAUUCCUUCGAUAAAGCGAAAAUUAAAUUACAGAAUAAUCCUAAAAUUUAAACUCUAAUAUCUUAUAAUGUAUUGAUUAAAAAUAAUCCUAAGAUUUCCCAAUUGAAACUUUCAUAAGUAUUUUUAUUGUUUUGGAUAAACAAAUUGCACUAGGAUAAAAAUUUGGCAAAUUCAGAGGAUAAUGGAAAAUAGUUAUGCUUCAAUAGGCCAAAGAUUAGAGAACAAACAAGAAUUAGUUAUUGAUAUACAAAAGAGAAACACUCCAAAAUUUCAAGCAAAAAUAGUUUCAUAUACCAUUUCGAUUUUGGAAGGGGUGAGAGACUUAUUGGUACCUUAUUGAAGGUAAACAUUAUAGAACUUUCAAUGUCAUUACCUCACUGUUCAACGAAGACUUAUUGGUACCUUAUUGAAGGUAAACAUUAUAGAACUUUCAAUGUCAUUACCUCACUGUUCAAUUUUUAUUGAGUCUUGUGUAAGCAUUUACCUAAAUCUUACCUCCGCCUUUAAAUUCAUAAGUUUUGAUUAAUUAUGAGACCUUAUGUUGGGAGAUAUUAUAAUCGAACUAAAACUUAAAAUUUCAAUAUCAUUAUUCUUUAAAAAGAAAUUGAGAUUUCAGAGUAAUAUCACAUAGAAAAACUUGCCCACGGUAAGCCAAAAGUCUAGUCAACCACAUGCAUAAAGCUAACUAGAGCAAGAGGACAGAGAAACGCGUGGGUCCCUAAAAGAAAAGGCAAGCACAUAAAGAACUUUCAAAAUGCCCAAGCAAAUACUGAUAAAAAUCACUGUUUAAGACUAAUAUAUUAUGUGGUUGAAGCUUUCUUUUUAUCAAUCUUCUUUCUACCCAUUAAUUUUCCCACGACUUUCCGGUUUUAUUUCUUGAAUCUCCAUGGAUUAACUUUCAAUAAACCAUAAAAUAAACUAAGGAAUCAUUUUCUCGAACACAGCUAUGAUUUUAAUAAAUGGGCGGACCAUCUAGAAUAGUAUAUAUAAUUCUGUUUAAUUAAUAAUUUGAAAAAACCAUCAAGAGAAAUUCUAAUAUUAUGAGCUUGACACGAAUUCUUCACUAAUUCCAAAACAAGGAGCUGUUUUAUAAGAACUGUGGUUGGAUUAUUAAGUUUUACAAUUUGAAUAUAAAUAAGAAAAUAAAAUCAAUCGCGUCGAUGUUUUCGAUACAUUUCGCUGCUAACUUAAUUAAUUACUUUACUUCAACUUUAUUUCCUGACGGGCACUAUAAGGUGGGUCCAAGAUGAGACCUACAAUAAUCAAUCCUAGAAUUUAGUAUGGUUACUAAAUAGCUUAGUGUUAUUUUGUGUUUGGUGGAAGAGAUUGAAUAUUUAGUUUUAACUUAACCAUUCAACUAAUUAGAAAAUAAAUAAACUUAAAUGAAAUGUUUAGAUAUCAAUUUAAAUAUUAAUAUCGGGGAUAUAAAUUAGUUAUAAUAUAGUUCAUUAUAUAAAAUUGAUUAAAUUAAUAAUUACACAUGAACAUAGAUGUAUAUGCUUUCCAAUUUCCAAAGUGCUCAAAGCACUUUUCUCACCAAACUUUCCUCUGAAUUUCCCGUAGCUGACUCCUUUGUUUGCGUUUUGUGAAAUUUCUAGGAACUUUUUUCUAUUUAGAAUAUUGUACAUUUUUCUUUUCAGCUGAGAUUAAUUUAACUUAUAGAAAAUCUUAUCCUUUUUUUAAUAUUAUUUAAAUAAAAUUUGUCUAUCUUUCAUUUUAUCAGUCUACUUUCUAGUUUCUACCCAUUAAUUAAGACUUUUCGAUUUCUUUUUUUCCUUAGGUUUUCAGUGACCAUCUUUCAAUAAACCACAAAAAUUACUGAGUCAUUUAUUGAACAAUUAGAUGACCAUAUUUCAAAAUAUCAACUAGAAGUUGCCCUGAAAUAUUUAAUUAAUAGUUGAAGAAUUGUGAUUAGUGUGGGCAUCUACAUAAAAAUUAUAUUAAAACACUGCUAAAAGAUAAAAAUAAAAUAAAAUAAAAUAGUACAAACAUACACCCAUAGGUUAAAACAAAGAAAAAACACGAACCAAUACACUAAAAUGUUUUAGCUGUAGUUAGUUUUCAGUUUCAUUACUUAAGUCCCACGUGCAUGUCUCGUGACUGAGGUCAAAAAAUGAUUGUCACAUUAAAGUUCAAAGUACGGAGCGGGGUAAUUAAGGAGUGGAGCUAUUGGCACCCCUCCAUUAUUCUUACAAAACCCCACUUUAAAUCAAAUUAUAAUUAAGGACAAUUGAAAAUUAAACACUUAUAGAUUUCUUUACAACAUGUUGAGUGAUAAAAAAGCACCAGUCGGGCAUGUCCCCAUUUCCUACCCGGGGGCGAAUCUCCUCGGCCGAAUGGUAUGAGUAGACUCCUGGUGAUGUCUUCUAUGUGGAGCACGUAACAAUCGACCAGGAACUAGUACCAACCAGAAACGAGUACUGAUCAGAAACGAGCAUGACUAGAAACGCAUACCGACCAGAGACUUGUGGGUCUCUAAAAGAAAAGGCAAGCACAUAAACGAAAAAGCCAUUACAUUUCUAUUUUAUAUGUCAUUCCUAAUUUUUGUAACAUGGUGUGGCAGCAUAUGCACAAUCAAAUGAGGCAAAAGGGAUUCGACUAUCGUGGCAGAACAUGGACGAGGACGCGUGAUGAAUAAUUCCUUCGAUAAAAUGAAAAACAAACGCAGAGAAAAUAAUUUCUUAUAUGACAAGAAAUUAAAGUAAUGUGAAGGAACAUGAUGAAGAAAUUGCAGACCGAUCAAUUAUCCCCAUGGACUCCUAUAAAUUCAACCAAGAUAACAAUUCCAAUCUUACCAAAUUCUUGAGUUAAAUUUAUUCAAUGCUUUUUUUUUAGAGAAAUUUUUUCCAAUGCUACUUUCCCUUUUUUGGGGAAAUUAGAACUGCGGCAUGUAUAGAAGACAUUGAGGUAUAAAGCAACAUUAAUUUCAUGGGUUAUGCGUUAUACGCAUAAUAUAUUUUCAGUCCAAAUUCAACUAUGAAAAGAGGCUUGAGAACUUAAAAUUAAGCUCAAACUAAACAGACGAAGUAAAUACAUGAUUAUGCAACAUAACAUUAAUUCUCUCAAUUUAUAACUGUUUUUGCCACAUGAAUCUUGCACAGUUAAUCCUAAUUGAAGACUAAAAAAGAACAAUUGGAACAAGGUUUUGGAAUAGAAUGAUAUACAAUCGAUAUGUUCCAUUUCCAGUCGUCAUAACUAAUUAACUGCAGUUUCUAGACUCCUAAUUAUACUAGCCAUAAGAAACUGUUUAGAAAACUGGUGAUCAGAUUAGAUUUUGAAAAGAAAUAAUGUUCAUUUUCCCUUUGCUACCUUUUUUUUUUUUUUUAUACCAAAGAAUUCUAUCAUGAAAAGAAUCAAUUUAAUCACCUUUUCCAGCAGCACAAAUUUUCUUUUAUAAAAUUUGACCACGGAGACAAAGAAGAAUUAUUCAUACCUUCAUCAGUAAGGAAAUACUUUUCGGUAUGGCUAGGGUGAGAAAAGGCUUUCCACAAACACUUGUACUUUGUAUUCCUGUAAAUUUUCUUUAAAGUCAAUAAAAACCAUAAGUUCUUUACAAUAACCAUCUCUUUGAUCAAAAAGUGCCGCAUUCCUUUAGAAUUUAAAACCGGCAAAACCGAAUCAGUGUCUUUGAAGAGACAUAAUGGUCGUAAUUCUUUAAAUGAGUUGGCUAAGGAAAUCCUUAUCCAAGAUUCUUUCACGCCAUGUUCUUUCGUAAACCAAAAUUCAUUUUGGAAUACUCUGAUGAGAAUGUCAAAUAAAACGGCAUUGAAGGAAGUUUUCAAAGGCAGAAUCUGCACUUGUCAAAGGGAUGAUAUGCACUUGUCAAAGACACGACCCGCGUCGAACGAAUCAACACAUUUCCUUUCGUAUUCGCAUAUGUAAUCUUUGAAAAAAUGUAACUUCUGCAUCUAUAAAUAACGCUCAGUGUAUAAUGUUUUAUUCAAGAAAAGAAAACAAGUUUCUUCAUACUCCUCGUCCGAACAUACAGGGACAGUCUCUCAUAACUUCAGCCGAAUACUUAUGAUGAUGAUCAUUUGUGAUUUCAUCAGGCAUAGGGUUGAUGGUGAAAAAUUUUGUAUGUGUGAAGAAUUGAGCUGUGGAUAUAAGGGACUUAAGUGUAAUCGAAAGAGAGUUAUUAGGCCAUAGUGCAGAUUGCAUUUAGUUUAUGGGUCGAUAUGCGAAAUCUGUUAUGGUCGUUACUAUUGUUUCUGGAAAUUUUCUAGAAACCUCAGCAUAAAAGGGGCUUUUGCAUAGCCUCUGGUGUGCGUGUGAUUUCUCUUUCGUUUCCUCAUCAAAUUCUGUAAUUCUUGCUUUGAUAAAAAGCUUGUAAUCUCUUCUGUAAUGUGUGAUCAGUGCGUAAUCAUUUUGAGCAAUAAAAGCUUGUGGGUUUUUCCUUCAAACAGUGUCGUUUUGGUCAAUUUGUUAGUUUGAUCUGUUGGUGGAAUUUUCUUUGGUUAUUUGUUCUCAAAUUUCAACCGUAUAUAAAGUUUGAACUCUAAUGGCUUAUAAUGUAUUGAUUAAGAAUAAUCCUAAGAGUUCCCGAUUGAAAUUUUUAAUGACUAUUUUUAUUGUUUUGGAUAUACAAAUUGCAUUAAGAAAAAAUAUUGUCAAAUUCAGAGGAUAACGGGAAAUAAUUAUGCUUCAAAAGGCCAGAGAUUAGAGAACAAAGAAGCAUUCAUUACUGAUAUACAAAAGAGAAACACUCCAAAUUUGCAAGCAAACUAGUUUCAUAUACUAUUUGGAUUUUGGAAGGGGUGAAGUUUUGAACUUCAGUUGUUCCUCUAAAAUCAAAAGCAGCAAUUAAGCGUUCUCAAUUAGAAAUAGCAAAGAAGACUUAUUGGUACCUUACUGAAGCUAACAUUAUGGCACGGUUGUUCAUAUGUAAUGGUUGCUCUGUUAUGCUAGCUUCUCUGUUUUUGCUUACAGUUUUGAACAUAAAUUCUUGCUCAAAUAACCCAUAAUUAAAUAACACUAAUAUGGCUCAUGAAAUCCUAUAAUAGCUAAUUACGCAACUUUCUCCUCCUCCUCAAUUAUGUCUUCCCCUGCUCGUACACUAAAUUCAAAAUUCAAUGCCCCGAAAAACAACACAAGAAAUCUUUGAGUUAGUUCGUGACCAGUUUAUAUAUAGUAGCAAUUGAAAAAAGAAAAAGAAGAAAAGAGUUAAUUAUUAUUCAUACCUUCACUUAUUAGGAAGUUUGUUCUGCUAUUGGGUGAGAUCAAGCUCUCAGCAUAUACUUCCGCAUAAUACUUUCUAACAUUUUCUUGAAAGACCAUCAAUCAUAAAAUCUUCAUACUUUUUUCCAUCCUUUGGAUCAAUAAGUACAAAUUUCUCAUCUAAAACAGAAAAAAUAAAAUCGCUGUCCUUCAUGGAAUAUCAUGGCUGCAAUGCCUGAACUGAAUUAGCUAAUGAAAUUUGAGUCCAGGAUUCUCUCAGCCCAUAUUCUUUCAUAAUCCAAAAUUCUUUUCUUUCUCGACAUGGAAGAUAGUCUUCUUUUCUUUCUCGACAUAUGUCUCUGUACUUUUCUCUCUCUACUGAUCCACACUUUUUCAUACUUCUAACUAUCAUUUUGUUUUUUUUUUUUUUGUUGAGUUGUGAUUUAUUCAAUUAUUUUUUAUUUUUAAUGACAAUUAUUUAAUAUUUAGUUUGUUUUGAUAUUGAUUAGUGAUUGAAAGUGUAUUUUAGAAGACUUCCGGUCUCUUGAAAAAAGGAAAAAUGGAGAAGAAGAAGAAGUGUUCUUGAUUUUUUUGUAGGCAUUAAAGUUAAACGGUUCGAAAUGAUAUUUUGUUUUAAUUUCACUCAUUAAUCUCAUUCAGGAUAAAAUUAUAAAUGCAAAUAAAUGGGGUUUCAUAAGUAUAUUUAAUAGUGUUAAAAGGUCUACUCACUAAAUAAACAUGUUUUACCCAAACCAAUCCGAUUAAUAAGCUAUUGGGUUGGGUUGAUCAGGUUAAAAAUUAAAUAAAUAAAAAAGGCAUAAAAACUAUAUUUUACUUGAAAAUAAAAAAGAAUUUCUAAUAGUUAGUUCUAAUGUCCCAUAUCCAAAACAUGCAUAUUAAAUAAAUAUUAUAAGUUAGAGGUAAAAUAUCCAAGAAACAAUGUAUGAAUGAAAUACCAUAUUUUUGUUGAGAAUUAAGAGUGUGAGUUUAAUUUUGAUAUUGGAGUCUAAAGCAAUAGAUAGUACAAUGAAAUCAUGAAUGCCACAUUUAAAUAAUCUCUUUUAUAAAAUAAUAAAAAGAAGUUAAAAAUUAAGUUAGCCAUUUAGGCGUUUAGGGUUUAGCAGUUAAGGAUGAACAUAUUAUUAUUAUUGUUGUUGUUGUUGUUAUUAUUAUUAUUAUAAUAAUUAUUUACAUAUUAAUUAAUCCAACUCAACCCAUUUGUUAACAAAUUUGAAAAAAAAUGACUCAAUUAAUCCACAAUAAUCCAUUCAACUUGUCUAAAUUGGAUUAGGUUGAAUUUGAUUUGCCACCCCAAUUUGAUUUGCCACCCCUAUUUUGAGCAACAAACCUCAAUGUGAUUCCAUGAGCUCUUUGAUUGUUUAUAAAAUUGAUUUAGAGUACAUAAUGGAGUGUAUCGACAAUGAAAGUGCAAAACAAAUAUUUGUGUACAUUAAAAUCUGCAAAGCAAUGAAUUAUAUGUACGAACGAGUGCAAACACAUUUUUCAAUAAGAAGUUAAAAGAUAUUUAUGCAUGAAAAAGCCUGCGUUUGUAGUAUUCUAAAUUUUAAAAAUAAAAUUUACAUUUAGAUCCCUAAAAUUUACGUAUAAGUACAAAAGUUUCAAAUAUUGUCUAUUAUUUUUUUAACAUGCCUAUUCCUUGUGGAUAAUUCUAUCUCAUCGCUGAUGUUGUUUCUUGCUUACAAUUUGUAUAGCGUCUCAAAAUAGACAAUAGGGGGAUUUUGAAUUUUUUAAGUCUCAAUAGUCUCUAAUCUUGUGAGAAAGAUUUUCUUUCAAUAAUUUGGAGGUAAACAUAAGAUAACUUUUUAGAUUAAAGCCUAACUCUGCUGGUUAUGGUGGUAUCCUUUUCAAGACUUGAGUCUUUAGAUUUGAGUUUUAUGGAGUGUGCAUGCGUAUUUAAUUAAUAGUUUUUUAAAAACAAUACAUCAAAUAUUAAUAUCCAUGACAUAAUUUAGUUCUUAAUUUUUUUAAAAUACAUCAAAAACAUAAUUUUUAUAACAACUUAUAGGCAUGAAAAAUUUCAAGAUAUAACUAUCAGUCAAAAUGAGUGAAAGAAAUAACGGUGUCAAUUUUAAUUUCUUGACUAAAUUAAUUAGUGCAUGAGCCCUGAAUACGACGCAAGAGUUUGAUGGGCUAACUUGGCACAAGAACCUGAAUAAAUAAUUGAUUGAAGAAAUAAUUCAACGAAAAAUAUAAUUGAUAAAAAUUCAGUAUUGAAAUGAGUUUUUUACGAAACACUGAAUUAAUGAUUAUUAAGCAAGAAUAAUAAAAAAUAAAAUAAAAAAUAAAUAUUAACCAUUGAUAAGCUUCAACAAGAACUUAACACAACCCUCAGUCCUAAUUCAAAUUAUAAAUGUCAUUCAUAUAUUCAUUAUAAAUCAAUAAGAAAGGUUAUAAAUGUUUAGAAAUUCUAGAGGGAAGGAAGCUAUCGCCGGGCAAUCAACAACUAAAUUUGAUGUAAUUGUGGCACGAGAUGGAAUAUGGAAACUACACCAUAAUUUCAAAUGCCGCCAUAGACAUUGACUUAUCUACAAUAACAAUGAUCUAAUUAAAAUAAAAAUAGAGUUUAUGGGCAUUUAUUAAAAUAAAAAUAGGAGUGAAGUAAAAACAUUUAGAUUUUAAUAUAUGUACGGAAAAAUUUAUCUUUAAAAAUACUUUCUUAAUGUGUGUGUGCAUAUUGAAAUACUCAAACCAAUUUUGGUCAUAUAUAAUUAAACAAAAUUUAAAAUAUGAAAAAUAUAAUGUAGUUAUAGUGGAUAAGCAAUAAGUGAGCACAAUAUAAUUAAUCAAAUAUUAUGCUAUCAAAAGUUAAUUUUAGAAAUUCCAAAUCCAAUAGCUAACACAAUUCUUUAAAGAAAUAAUAUGGGGCAUUGGGCAAGAGUAAUGAAUGCUUAGUGGGUGCAUUUGAUUGAUAGAUAUAUAAAGGGCCGAAACUUGAGAUUAUAUUACUUUUACAAAUUUUAAUCCAAUCACAUAUUUACUGAAAACAAAAUGAGUUUGGAUAGUUUAUUUAGAACCCACAUUUUAAUAAGGCUUCAUUUGAUGUAGUUUUUCAAACAUUGAUUAUUUGAGUAAAGUUUCUUUAAUAGAGUUUUUAUCAAACAAAUUUUAUUUAUUUGGUUGUCGAUAAGAGUUUUCAUUAAAAAUUAUAAAAUUAUUUAAAUAAACAUGUUUCUUAAAAUUACAUUAUAAAAAUAAUUAAAUAAAGUUAUAAAAGUAAAAUAUAUUUUAGAUAUUUUAAUAUUUAAGAAAAAAUUUUCAACCUUUACUUUCGAAAGUUUAAAUCUUUAACUUUUAGUUGUAGAGACAAAAUAUCUUAUUUAAUCUUUAAAAAUUAUGCUAAAAACAAUCAAAUAACUACAAUGGUGGGAUAGCUGGGCUGGCUGGCCAGCUGUGUGCGCAUUGUAUAUGAUUGUUUUUCACUUUUUUAAUAUUUUCUUGUGCAUUAGUUCAUAUUAGAUUAGUGAGUUUGUGUGUGUGUUGUGUGUUUGCAGUUGAUUUGGUUAAGAUAUUUAGGUUAUAAUAAUUUUUUUUAAUAAAAAUUUGUUUUAUUUCGAAAUGUCAACAAUGCCCACAACUACCCAAAUGGCAACUAAGCGGAGUAAAAACGUAGAUGGUUUUUUUACAAAUAAAUAGAUUCUCAGCAUCUAUUUACAAUAAACCCAAACCUCGGGGAAGAUUUUUAAAAAUUACCCUAAAAUUAAAUAAGCAUUUAUUAAUAAUCACUUUGAUAUACUUAUCUAAUGACCAUAAGUGUUUAUUUAAUCUAAUAAGUUCUUAUUUAAUCUUAUGAGCUCUUUUUAAUUUUUUUUGUUGUUUGUUUUUUAGUAGAGUAUUUGAAAAUUAAAUAAAGUAUUUUGUCUCUACUAGAAAAAACUCAAAUUUUAGAUUUUUGUGAGUAAAUGUUUAAAUUUUUUGAAAAAUAUUAAAAUAUCUAAGAUAUCUUUUCUUUAUUUCAUAAUCUUAUUUCAUUUCUUCAUAACAUAACUUUAAAUAACUUACCUAUUAAAAUAAUUUCACAAUUUCUAAUAAAAACUCUAAUUGACAAUUAAGUAACAACUUUUUUUUUUGUAAAAACUCUAUUUAUAAAAAAUCUAAUAAAACUUUUAUUUAAAUAAAUUAUAUUUGAAAAGGUGUACUAAACCUACCUAACAUAAAAACAAAAAUUUUUACAUCCAGACAAUUAAGCUUAAAACAAUUUCAAAUGAAUUUUAGACUAAUCAAAGUACAAUACGUACCAAGUUUGGUAACUUAUUGACAUCUUCUCAUAUAACCUUCGAUCAAGUCGAUUCUCACUUGACGACUAUACUCGCAUGCAUCCGAUCACAAAUCUCACUCCAAUUGUCGUCUUUCUUCGCCGUUUUAGCGCAUCCUUCUUGAAUUUCCCGCAUUUCGUUCCCUCCUGUUACAAGUCUCCGGUCAGGUCAGUUCUCUUGACGAUUAAUUCGGUAAAUCUUGAAUCUCUUCUCUAUCCCUCUCGUUUUCUCGCGUCGUUUCACUUCAAUUUCUCGUGUCUCCUUUCAGUUUAAGUGAUUGAAUCAAUUCUAUCGCAGUCGUAAGAGAAAUUAAGUAAUGCUCUUGGAUUUAAAAUUUUUUUGCUUUCGACUUUAGAUCUCGAAAGUCAAACUCUGCUACGAAUCCAUAGAUUCUCAAUGUUCAUAAUCUUAUUUGUGUUUGACCAGGUAACCGGAUCGUGAAAUUCGUCGUUUUGUAUCAAUUCAAGCUUUCGCGAGCUCAUGGAAUCACCUGGUGAGUUGUGGUGAAACGUUAUCGUUUCAAUUUUCGCUUAAUUCUUUAUUGCAUAUUUUUUUCUCUAAUAUUUCAGUUUAAUUUAGAAAAGAAAGAGGACCCAAAAAGAGAGAGAGAGAGACAGACUCUACCAUACUCAAUUCCUUGCUCAUUCUGAUUUGGCCUGAAUGUUGGCAUUGACUAUUAUUUGUUUUCAUAUCGACUUAAUUCUCAUUUAGACAGUCUUUACUAACGGUCAAUAAUAGUUUAAGGAAAAUGAUAAUAGGGAUUCUGCAAUAAUCUUUCUGCAUUGUUCAAGUUAGUAGACAAUGAAUAGGAUGUUUAUGUUUACCUCAUUUUGAACCCUGAGGGCUUUGUUGAGUAGUUGAUUCAACAUAUCCAGCAACAGUUGAUGUGAGAACAGGAUGCCACUUAGAUAGGCUUAAACUGAUUUUGGAGGUUUGUAUUGGUUCUAUUGUACGUCUUGCUUACAAAUUUUUUAUUUUUUAUUUUUAAUUUUGUAUAAUAUGCUCUUUGUUGGUAAAUCUCAUUUGACUUAGAAGAGAUAGUUUUAUCCCAACAGUGGGAUAAAUCAUUGAGAUGCAUGGCAGUGUGAAUAUAGUAGACAAAAUCAUUGAGACACAUGGUGGUGUGAACAUAGUAAACUUUGUCAAACACAGCUAAGAUAAACAAAUUGUUUCAUUAGCCAUUAUCUUAUCUGCUGUGAUGAUUCAAAUUAAUGCUGUUUGGUAGGUUGCAAAAAACAAAAUGAGCUGACUGUUCGUAUUAUUUAGUCAGAUCUAUAGUAAUAAGUUGAAGUUCAUUGUCACAUGGGUUGGGAGUAGCGUGGGCUGUGAGUAGUAGAAUGGAUUUAUGGAGUUGAUACAAGUGCCCACAAUCUAUCAUGUCAUUCUAGGAUUAAAUGGAUUGCACAUUACUGUAAAGAUGGAGGUUAAAUUUAUAUAAUUCGGAUUGAUUGUAAAAUGGGACGCAGAGAUGAGUUAGAAAAAGAAUGACCUGUGUCCUUUUUGAGCUGUUUCUAAAUGUCCCUGGUGUGCUUCAUGCUUAACACGUGCCUUUCCAAAUAAUUUUGCUUAACCUGUGCUUGUCUGCUUCUUGUGCUAUUCUGUGCCUGGUCCUGAGCUGUGUUGGUAGAUUGACAUCCAGCUUGAACUUUUAGGUAUAUCUUUUGUACAUAAAUUCUGAAUACCCAUGGACUUAGCGUGAUAAAGUCAAGGAUCCAUUUAGCUGAGUCCUUCAAGUUUUGUUAGUAUGUCUUCGGAUUAUAAAUAUGUGACAAAAAUGAGGUGUAGAAUACAUUUAAAAAGAAAAGGAUAAAAAAAACAAAAGAAAUGAAAAGAGGUGUUUAGAAGUAAUAGUUAAACUAGAUACACUCCCACUAAUUUACAAUGCACACGACAUACAACUUCUAGUAAUCCUAGGACUUUGUUGACAGGGUGCUUCUAUUCCUCGUUGUGGAAAUGGGACAAACCUUUUGAUACCUUUACCAGGAUCAGUUAGUGCUGAGGAUAUGGCUAUUACUGGAGCUGGUGCACGACUUCAUGAUCAAGAUGCACCAACCCUUCCACUGUUGUAUGAUUUUGAAGAAUUAGAGGGAGAAUUGGAUUUUCUUACUCGUUUUGUGGCAGUUACCUUUUAUCCUGCUAUUUCUGGAACAAGCUCCAUGACUCUUGGUGAGGUAGAAAAUAUUUUCAUAAAAUGUUAAUUAAUGUGUCUACGCACUUUAUUCUUAAAUUAGUAUUUUAGACCAUGAGCUUUGUGGAGUGGGUUUGCUGUAACUGCUGCUGGUGACAACAUAAUUUUAAUAUUAUUACAGAUAGAGAUUCUUGGAGUUUCUCUUCCAUGGAGGGGGGUAUUCAAUAAUGAAGGCCCUGGUGCUAGAUUAAUUGAGCUUGGCAAAAAGUUUCAGAAGGAAACCGAUCCAUUUUUGUCAAAUUCAGUUACAAAUACAGUUCCGUUUUCCAAUGAAAAUGUGUCAACAUCAAUGCAAACAGAAGCUGCUUCCAAUCCUUGGGUUGACCUGUUGUCUGGAGGGGACACAUUUUCUGAUCCUCUUUCAGAGCCGUUUUCUAACCCUCUUUCUGAGCCGUUCUCUGAUCCUCUUUCUGAGCUGUUCUCUGAUCCUCUUUCUGAGCCAGUGACAAGAAAUGUUGCAUCUGGAGGGGCUGAUUUGCUUGAUUUCUUGGACCAGCCUAUAGUUGAAGAUCAUGGUGUGGAAACUUAUAAAAGAUCUUCAACACAGGAUGGCUGUUCUCUAGCUAGUGGUGCCCAGCAGUACAUAAGCUGUCUAAAAUCCCUUGCAGGGCCACGCGAGGAAUAGUGCUGCUCUCUUGUGUUUUUUGCAGCUCUACAUCUUAGCAACUUCAUCUUUUUAAAGGAGUAAAUUCUAGAAGUUCAACAAAUUUUGCUCUGUUAAAUGUAUAACUUAUUAAUCAGUGUCCUGUUAUUAUGGUUUGACACUACUGACAUAUUGUGUUGGUAUUUAUUUGUACUUCCCUUGGUUGAAUUAUUUGCUGUCUCCAUGCCAUUCGAUAUGGUGCUACUUGGUUUUUGAUCAUCCAUGACGCUAUAUAUAUGUAAAGGAUGAAUUGAUUGUUUUGGCUUGUAUUCUCACAUUUUAUGAUUGAUCGAUGGAAAGGUCUUCAUGUAUUAAAUUCAACCUCACAAGCGUAAGAUUGACAGAUUCUGGGCAAAUUUUCAGGAAAAGAAACUAGACUUCAUGGAAGCAAUGAAGCUUGAAAUUGAACGUCUGCAGCUGAAUCUUUCUGCAGCUGAAAGGGAUAGAGCUUUAUUGUCAAUUGGAACUGAUCCUGCCUCUAUAAAUCCAAAUGUAUUGCUUGAUGAAUCUUACAUGGGAAGACUGUGUCGAGUAGCAACCACUCUUGCAUUACUUGGCCAAACUUCCCUAGAAGACAAAAUUGUUGGUGCAAUUGGCCUUGAGAAUAGUGAUGAUAGUGUUUUAGACUUCUGGAAUAUUACUAGAAUCGGAGAGAGUUGUUCUGGUGGCUGGUGGCGGGUGCAAGGUUCGUGCAGAAACUAAGGUGCCUGCUCUUGCUUCCUCAACUGCAACAUCUGUUGGAGCUUCACAAUCCCCUUUGUUGUGUUCUCAAUGUGAAAGAAAAGUUUGCAAAGUUUGUUGUGCAGGAAGAGGAGCUCUACUGUUUUCAAAUUAUAAAUCAAGGGAUGUGACCAACUACAAUGGCUUCUCAAGUCAGAGUGGAUCAAGCCAUGGAAGCCAAGUUGAUGUAUCUACCAGUCGUUCACUAACACUGGAUGGCGUUAUCUGUAAACACUGCUGCCAUGCGAUUGUGCUUGAUGCAUUGAUGUUGGACUAUGUUAGGGUCUUGAUUAGGUUGCGAAGAAGUUCCCGUGCAGACAACGCAGCAUACAAUGCUUUGAAUGAGGUUGUUGGAUCCUGCUUAAAGGAUAGUCUUUCUGAAAGGAUUCAGUCUUCCGAUAACGUGCAAGCUGCUGAAGUCCUUCACCAGUUAUGUGGUGGACAGGAAUCUCUUGCUGAAUUUCCAUUUGUUAGCGUUUUGCACUCGGUAUGUUCUUGGUUUGUAUUCAGUUCUCAUCAUGUUAUGUUUUCCUUUUAAAUUUCUUUUCUUGAUUAAAAUUUUUAGAAAUAUGUUUUAGUAUUUGUUCUUAUGAUAUAUGCCCAGAACAUUCAUCCCACUUAUCCAUGAGAAUCCUUGUCUGGUUUGAUUUUCAAUUGAGACAUUUUUGGGAACCCUGAGCAGGUUCCAUAUGCUAAUAAUCUUUGAGGUAAGGUGUUGUAGGAUGCCUUGAGAAGCUAAAAACCUAUUACAAGGAAAAGCUCUUGCAUUGUUUUGUGCAAUCUGUGUGCUAGCAAGUCAUGUCUCUAAUAAUUUCAUAGUUCGCUUGAUUGGAAUUUUUUAUCUUGAUAUGGAUUGUUUAUUCUAGAUUCCUUGGUGCCACUGUAGGUUGAAACAGCAAAAGAUUCAGCACCGAUUUUGUCACUGCUUGCUCCAUUAAAUUCUGGAUCAAGGCACUCAUAUUGGAGAGCUCCACCUAGUACUACUUCUGUUGAAUUUGUUAUUGUUCUCGGUUCUGUUUCUGAUGUCAGUGGGGUUAUCUUGCUUGUUAGUCCUUGUGGCUAUUCUGUGGCUGACACUCCGAUGGUAAGUGCCAUAUUUAUUCCCUUAUUUCCUUGUUGUUCAAUAAAUUUGGUGAUAAGCCAAGUGGCCUUAAUAAUGAAGCCCAGUACCAGGGGUGGUGGGUAAUCGAUAUUCAACUUGUGAAUAUUCCUAAGCAAACACUGAAUCAACAUAUACCUCGGCAAAAGUUCUCCAUGCUAUUAUAACAAAAGUCAUAUUUUGAAAUGAUUAAAAGAGUCCCUGUGUAGUGCCAUUUCCAAAGAAAUUGCAGCUGGGGGUUUAGUUUCAUGUAGGUUAGUUUCCGAUAAUAAACUUUCCAUUUCAUUAAUUGCUGAUGAAAUAACCAAGUAAGAACAGUUUCGUUGCUCGUCAUUUAUGUAUAUUUUGGUAAACUGUAAUUUUAAAUUCUCAACGAUCUUCCCUUUGUAGGUAAGAAGAUGGUCCACUCACUUGAUAUUUAUGAUUGUAGAUCAGGUUUCUAUUGGUUUGCCUUUAUCAUUCGGAACCCAAGUUUGAUAUUAACAGAGAUCACGUCAAUAAUAUCCUAUUUGGGUAGAUGUGGGUGAGGAUUUAAAAUCAAAUUUGAAAUUGAGGGGAAAGAAGAGAAAAGGAACCACAAUAAUUAAACAAAAUAUUAGGAACUAUUCUGAUGAGUUUUAAUCUCGAGAGGAACAAUUUUCAAAUGCAAAUUUAACUGCUAGAGAAAUUGUAGCUUUUUGUCAUUAGUUAAGAGGAAAGAGAAUAAGAACUAUCCGGCCCUUUCCUUCAUGAAUGUGUGUUGAGGUUGCUGUAUUAUUUAGUCAGUAUUUGUAAUUUUCUUCCCUGCAGUGCUCUCUGCCUCCUGAAUUUGCUACUGAGUCCAUAUUUUUCUUUGAGCUGUUGCUUCCUAUUGCUGUUACAGGUACAAAUCUGGGCAAGCAAUAAGAUACACCGGGAGGAAAGGUCAUCAAUGGGAAAAUGGGAUGUCCAAUCCCUCAUCACAUCUUCUUCAGAUUUGUAUGGUCCAGAAAAGUCCGCUAGUGUUGAAAACUUACCUAGGCAUGUAAAAUUUACUUUUAAGAAUCCUGUUAGGUGCCUCAUUGUUCGGAUCACAUUACGUCUUCAGAGACCUGGUUCGGCUUCAGUUAAUUUCGGGAAGGACUUCAGUCUUUUGUCUCUUGAUGAAGAUGAAAACCCCUUUGCACAAGUAGACAGACGUGCUUCAUUUGGAGGAGCAGUUGAAAAUGAACCAUGUAUUCAUGCCAAAAGAAUUCUUGUAGUCGGAAGCCCAGUAAAAAGGGAGGGGCUUACCUCAUCACAGAGCUCUGAGCAGCUAAGUAUUAGAAACUGGUUGGAUAGAGCUCCACAAAUGAGUAGAUUCAAGGUAUUAGUUGCUUUCACUCUUUGUUCAUUCAUAAUUCCAGCUUUCUGCUUCACUGAUAAACCUCUUUUUUCUCUUAAGGUCCCAAUUGAGGCCGAGAGAUUGAUGGACUACGAUCUCGUCUUGGAACAGUAUUUACCUCCAGCGUCACCUUUGCUUGCCGGAUUCCGUCUAGACGCUUUCAGUGCAAUAAAACCUAGGGUUACCCAUUCACCUUCCUCAGAUUCAGAUAUCUGGGACAAAUCAGUAACAUUUUUAGACGACAGGUACAUCUCUCAAGCUGUGUUGUAUUUACAAGUAUCCGCACUCCAGGAACCACAUAACAUGGUAACUAUUGCGGAAUAUCGACUGCCGGAGGCUAGAGCCGGAACACCAAUGUACUUUGAUUUCCCACGACCGAUACAGUCCCGACGAGUUUCAUUCAAGCUUCUUGGAGAUGUUACAGCAUUUGCAGAUGAACCUUCAGAACAAGAUGAUUCAGGAUUGAGAGCUCCGCUUGUGGCUACAGGUUUGUCUUUGUCAAACAGAAUCAAGUUAUAUUAUUAUUGUGAUCCUUAUGAGCUUGGAAAAUGGGCAAGCCUUUCUGGAGUUUGAUCGUUAUUUAUAUGUCAGAGAAAGAGUUUUGGGUUUGAUUUUGAUUUGUAAUUUUUGUCAGUUUAUUGAAAUUUUUUGUUGUAUAAAAGCAGAAUGUAAAGGUAUAAAAAUUCAUUGAUGCUGCAAUGUCUGUGCUUUUGAGAAAGAAAGAAUUCAAUGUGUUUUCUAUGCAUUGGAUUUUCCCACUGCUUGUAAACUUGGGCUGUCGAAUGCUCUGUGAACCUUAAGGGCUAUAAAGUAAUUUUCAAGACUGAAGGAUUUAUUAAUCGAGUUCAAAAGAUUGCAAGUUGGUGAGCGUUUGCAUUUUAAAAAUCAAUUGUUAUUCUCUCAAUAAUCUAUCUAUUCUGCCGACCCGCCAAGCGCAGAAACCCUUAGUUCCGACGGACGUGUAACACUUCUAGAAAUUAGCCUUUUCUUCUAUAUGAACUGUGAAGGUUGAUCUCUCCUCGUGAAGUGAAGGUGGUUUUCCAAUUACAUACGUCGGGGGUCUUAUGAUAUCUAAUGUGUGAAAUUUCUCUCAUUUUACCAUAAAGAAAAGUUCUGUAAUGAUCUAAAGUUGGGAGUCUUAAAUUAUCUUAAAUUUAUAUUUAGAGUGGAGUUAUUGGCACCCCUACAUUAUUCUUACAAAACUCACUUUAAAUAAAAUUAUAAUUAAAGACAAUUGAAAAUUAAACAUUUAUAGAUUUUUUUUACAGCAAAUUACUUAAGUCAUAAUCAAUCUUUUUUUAAAAAAAAAUUUAUAUGUUGCUUCCUAUCUAAUUAAAAUAAAUUAUAAAAAUUUAGAAUAAUCUAUUGUUCUCUUUUGAUUUCUUAUUGAUUAAAUAUUUUUAUACUCAAAAUUACUUUGAAAUUAUAAUUUGAAAUAUGUGUUAUAUACAGUAGUUCGAUUUACCAAACCACAAAGGGCCACAAAGGGAGCCAAUGUAGUUUUGCCAAAAUCACGUUCUGUAGCAUAAUAACAGAUAUUAUUAUUGUAUAAUAGAUGGGUUUAGAAAAAUUGAAGAGUACGUGUCAGGUUUGAUUUUCAUGUGAUUUGGUUAGUGACGACGAAAACGACGACGUCGUAGUUGAAAAGCGUUUGAAUUAAUGUUGCGUAAAAAAAAAAAAAAGUUGUUCCACUGAUUAAGUCAACAUUACUGAUGUCUUAUCACCCUCGGCCAACUUAACAAUUGGUGUCCUUUGGACAAUUAAAUAUGAUUUAUUAAAAAAAAAUGAAACAAUUAAAUAUUAAAAAUUAGGUCCAAUAAUAAUAAUACUAAUAAUUAAGAAGAUCUAAUUACAUAUCAAAAUGACUCAAACAAAUUAAUUAAUUUUAUAUUAGCUAGCCAAGUAGGUUGUCCAUCCCACUCAGACAUGCAUGAAAGCUAAAUUCAUCAAAUGAAUUACUUAAGGAGUAUUUGAUAAUUUUGAAAUUAUCAAAAGGUGUUAUACUAUUAAAUAUUUUUAUACUUAAAAUUGCUUUGAAAUUAGAAUUUCAAAUUAAAAUAGCAGUAGCAAAAUCGUAGUGCACAUUCAAUUAACCAACUAAUAGUCUAAGAAGCAAAAGAGAGGAUUACAAGUUCACAACACCAUUAAUUCUCCUACGAAAACAUCAAUGUACAGAUAUAAACAAUCCGAAUUGGAAGCGAUUGGGAAAAACCCUUCAAUGGAUUGCUUUCCUUCCCAAUGCUAUAUACUGUGCAAACCAAGAAAAUGUUUUCAAUUUAGUAUAUUUUCAAAAUGCUUAUUUUCUCAGAAUUAAAAAAGUUAAAACAUGUAAUCUUCAGAAGCAUAUAAUAAAAGAACACUUCCACAAAUUACUACAAUUUCAUGCAGUAGAGAUUGAAGAAUUGAAUUCCACUUAUAGAAUGAAUUUUUUAAUAAUGAAAACAACAACAGAGGAUUAACUGAUGCUUUGACUUAUUUGCAGGUUGCAAUGAAUUAGUAACUGCAGCUAAGUUAAAUAAAAUAAGGUAUUUUCAAAAGCAAAAUGGAAUACAUAGAUAAAACAUCAUCUUAAACAAAUCACAAUCUAGAAUUAGAGCAUUUUCGACAUACCUAAGGAACAAGAAUACGUGAAAACGGGUGAUUCAUUUAUUAAGGAGUGUUGAUUUGGUCGUCUCUGCAAAUUCUUUAGGGACUCGGUUCCAAUUGCUCUUCAUCAAAACUGUAAUAUAAUUCCCCUUCAUCAGAACUCGAAUCGAUGCAAUAUAAUUCCCCUUCAUCAGAACUCGAAUCAAAUUCACUUGCAGCAGUUCCACUCGCGCUUGGCAAAUCAUCCAAUUUCCAAACUUCGGUAGCAAAAUUGAGAGUAAAAGUGUUGGCUUUGAUCUCGCUGGGAUUUGCAUAUACUGGACAUACUCCGCAACGUUUUAUCUUCUGACCCUUUUGGACCUUUAUUAUGUUUCGGUAACACUUAUUGAAGAACUUAAGUGAGACAGUUGUAUGAUGGUAAACAUCGGGAAAGCCAACAUUCAAGCAAGGCUUAAAACCAAGUAUGACAUGAUCUGAAUCAUGGGGGUCUUGAAUUAAGCCCGAUUCGUAACCCAGAUCAACAUGUUUGGCUUCAGAGAGAGUCUUUAUUUCUAAGUCGGAUCGACAGCCGACGCUAAAAAAACGAGAACGAUCAGAAUAAAGUUGCUUAAAAUCAAGAACAGCACAAAAAGCAAACCCGAUUAAGUUUCUGCAAAAAGAGUGCGGUGGCAGUUGAAUACGUAUCGAAGAUCCUGAACUUUGAUUGCUGAACCAGUCAGGAAUUUCGCUCCCAGGUAAAACAAUUUGGGAUCCCCUGAGUUUAGAAAGUUUCUGCGAAACGACAUUUAAAAAAAGAAAAUUGUAAAAUGAAAACCAUGAUUUCAGAUAUAACAAAGAGGGACAGAGUAAACAAGAGAGGGAAUUUGAUACCUCGUUGUAUGCAUUUUCAUAGCCCAGUCUCAGUGAUGCUGCAAUUGCCAUACGUAGUGAAUCUGCCAAAAUCUUGUUGUUUGCUUUUCCAUCAAGUUUCAAGCAGUUAGUAAACCCAAAAUAAAUUGGUUGUGGCGUCACAUAUUCCGGAUGCCAUUGACGAAGGUCAGGAGAGGGUUUGGAUAGCUUUUCGAGUACGGAUGCAUCUAGUUCUUGUACACAUGACGGAAUCUCUGGCAAAGAUUGAAGCCGGUUGCAGUUCAUUGCUUUUAGUGACUGUAGACACAAUGGAAGUUCUGGUAAUGACCGAAGCAUGUUACAAUCCUCCAAGUCAAGAGUUUCUAGACCCAAUGGAAGUGCUGGUAAUGACUGAAGCAUGUUACAACGCCAUAAGCGAAGAGUUUCUAGACCCAAUGGAAGUUCUGGUAAUGACUGAAGUAUCUUACAAUCCCUCAAUUCAAGAUAUUUUAGACACAAUGGAAGUUCUGGUAAUGACUGAAGCAUAUUGCAAUCCGUCAAGUAAAGAUAACGUAGCCACGACAGUUGCUUGAUACUUGCAGGUAAACUCUCAAAGUUAUUUCCACUUAAAUUGCCAAUGUUAUCCGGCAACUUAUCAAGCAUAGAGCAACCACUUACGGACAAAAGUACAAGCCCCGGUAGAUUUUCAAAUGGCGAUGGCAGCUCUGUAAUUGCCGUCCAGACUAAAUAGAUGCGAUUUAAAUGUUCCAUUUUCUCCAAGAUUUCUGGGAAACGCCCAAGGUUCAAGCAGCCAAAAAGAAAAAGGUCACCCAAAGAUCUCAAUUUACAGAACCUAGUUGAAAUCCUCUUCAGCCGUUUGCAAUCCCCCAAAUCCAACACUUCAAGAUCAGUUAGGCACUCUAUUGAUGAUGGAACUUCUUCUAUUGCAGUGUAGCCCAAGUUUAGCGAUGUUACUUUCCCAGAAAUCUGUGGAAACUCUUUGAGAUUAACACAACAGGAGAAAUUAAUAGUUACUGGACAAUCAAAAUGAAGAUUGCUUGGAAAAGACCUAAGACUUUUGCAGCCCAUAAAAUCCAACCUACUGAGAUACUUGAAAUUCUGGAUAGAUGAGGGAACACAAGCCAAGUUUGUGUAAUCCAAAAGAUAUGUUUCAACAUUUGGGGUUUCUAAUGGGCCUGGCAUCUUAAUGAAAUGUCGAGAAUGGCCGAGGUUAAUAGAUUUUAACUUGAAAGCUUCCUGCAAUAACAGAUAUAUAAAGACUAUAUUAAUUAAAAAGCAACAUUGAAUUCAACAAUUAAUUGCACGUAUAUUUAAAGAAAGAAAAAAAUUAAUGUUUUAGUUUUAGUACAGAACUUGCCUUUUCUCCUUCCCAAAGUUGCUCAACUUUACUAAAACGCAAAUUCAGUUCAACAAGGUUCUUUGGCUUGAAAUUUGAUGGCAGUGUCCUUAAUGGAUAUGUGUCCCAAUGAAGAUAUCUCAAUUUUUUAGGAAGAUAAUCUAGGCCUUUUCGAAGCUGCACUUUAGAGUAUGAAAGUUGCUCUUCAAUGCUCAUACUUAGAAACCUUUCAAUCUCAGGUACAUAAAAUUUGAGCAAUCUUAGAUUAGACAUUUUUGUGAAGGCUCCUGGGUCUAAAUUGAUGCCUUUUAUUUUGGACAAAUCUAGAAAUAUGCCUUCAAUUGCAUCGGUCCCCUUAUUAAAAAAAAAAACAAAGAAUGAGUAACCCUAAAACAGAAAAGAAACAUUCGUAAACUUUAUUAACUAAGAGCUCCUUAAACAAAAACAAAUUCUGCAAUCUUUGAUUUUAUUUUUUUUAUAUAUUAAAUAUCUAUAUACGAGAAAAGAAAAUUUUGGGGACCAUUGCAAAAUUAAACUAACCGAAAAAAAAUUCAAAAUUUCUCUAAUUUACAAGGCCUAUUUGAUUGGUAUAAGAUUUUGAUUUUUUUUUAGUCCAUAGAAUCCAAAAUGUUAGUUCAAAAUUAGGGAAAAAAUGAAAGUUAUUUUUUUUCCACUAGUUGUAAUUGUUUCCAAAUCAAAUUGAGAUACGACCCUUUUCGAAAGGAUUUAAUCAUCUUAUAGCCUCCUUAAGAUACAUUUAAGCUAAAAGGAGUGAUUGGAGGCAGAACUAGGUGGGCCAAUCAGUCCAUUUUAUUAGUGACCGUUGCUUAAAAAAAAUUAUACUCUAAAACACACUUACUUUUUUGAAAAAAAAUGUAAUUAUAUUGAAGUAGAACCAGGUGGGCCAAUCCUCAUGGCACUCACUUUGUUCUGACACUCUUCACUAAAUUUGAAGAAAAAUAAAAUUAUACUCUUCACACUCUUAUUCAACAUUCCAAAAUUGAUAAAAUCUGGAGUUUUCUUUAAAAAUUUAAAAUUUGAAGACUUGUUCUCUUGACACCCUCAGUCAUUAAUUUUACCUAAUUAUGGUUUUUAUGAUUUUGGUUGUUUUGUUCAUAAAAAUGCUUUUACUAAAGGAUGUUCUGGCAAUAAUAAAAUUUAUAAAAAAAAAGGGUGUGCUGGUAUGGUUGGAAAAAUAUGAGUGCAUAACUCCAAAUAAAUAAAAGAUAUAUAAAAAAAAAUGGAGGAUUCUUACCAUAUUAUGCUUUAGUACGCGGCGGAUUUCCUUAGGAUCCCACAACCUACUGCGUCUGCCUGGCUCUUCCUCAGAUUCUUGGCGAACAAUCUCUCGGCCCAUUUCUUGCAAUAAAUCAUGCAUUUGCAAGCGGCUAUCUAGCUCAUGCAUUGGGAAGCAGUUAUAUGACACUGUUAUGAGUGACUUGUCCACGAGGACAUCCAGUCUGUGAGACCCAGAAUCAUCAAGUAUCCUUGUCACAAAAUCUUUAUCCUCUCCCUCAAGGAAACACGCAAUAUCUAGAAACAUACUCUUCUCCUUGCGUGUUAAUUCAUUAAAACUAAUCUUUAAUAUGUCAUAAAUACCAUGAAUAUCAGAUUCACAAAUCCGAUUUAAGUCGUCCAAUACAUUUUCCCAAUGGCUUUUCCUCUUGAGAUACAGGGAGGAACCCAACACUUUAAGAACUAAUGGAUUGCCAUUGGCAUACUUUACAACCCUCCAUGAGUGCCGGUUGAGAUCUUCAGGACAAUGAUUUUCUUUAAAAGCGAAGUUACAAAAAUGCUCGAAAGCCUCAUCAAAUUUCAAUCCAUUGACCCCAUAUAUUUUCUCCACUCCAAAUUUUUCGAGGACUUGUUUAUCCCUGGUGGUUACAACAAUUCUACUUCCUGGACCAUAUUGAUCAAGCCCUCCAAUCAAACCCUCUAAUUGUUCAUCUUUAUUCACAUCAUCGAGUACAAUCAACACCUUCAUGCGUCGGACCCUCCCUUUAGUAAAUUGUGGAAUAUUGGGACCAGCUACUUCAAGUUUUUCACUUAAUAUUGUCGAAAGCAUUUCCUUUUGUAGGUCUUCUAGGCCACCCUCUGUUUCUGAUUUUCUCCUAACAUUUUUUGCAAAGUAUGUACCAUCAAACUCACCAGAGAAUUGAUCGAAAAUAGCUUCAGCAAGGGUAGUUUUGCCUAUACCACCCGUGCCCCAAAUUCCAACAAUACGGACAGUAUCCCACAAAUCCAUACACAGAAAUGGUUUAAUCUGCUCAAUUCGUGAAUUUAAUCCAACUAGGCCAUUAGAUGAGUCCGUUGAGACUGUUAUUUUUUCCAACUUCUUUAAAACAUCUUCGACAAUUUUGUUUACAAGUUCCGCAUCGUGCCUAAUAUAAAGGUGCAAAGAUGCAAAAACAUUGAGCAAAUCAGGCCGAGACAGAAACAGAGAAAAGAUGAAUUAGGAAAGAGAGUUACCUGAAUUUCGUGGAUUCAUGGCCGGCUAGAUGGGAUGUUUCUGUCAGUGCAUCCCUCCACUUCAGAACCAUUUCUGGUUUAUCUUCGAACUGUUUUUUGAGCUCAUCAAAACGGUCUCCAAAUGUUCCGUUUUGAUGCCGCACAUCAGAUGGACUUACUCCAUAGAAGACUGGAAUAAUAAUUUGGCCGUUUGUGUUCUUGCAUUCAAGAAUCUUGACAAGUUCAUUCAGGCACCAUUUUGAAGAAGCGUAGUCCUUUGAGAAAAUGACCACCGAAAUUUUUGAACCUUCGAUUGCGUUCAAAAGGGCGGGUGAAAUCUCAUCUCCUCGCCUAAGCUCUUCAUCAUCAAUAAAUGUUUUGAUUUUCUUUCCUUCAUACAAUUUAUCAUAGAGAUAGCAAGUAAAGCUCUUACGAGUGUCCUCCCCUCUAAAGUUGAGGAAGACUUCAUAAUUGCCACAAGAAGAAGAGGAAGCCAUGAAGGAAAUUUUAGAAAAUUGGUGACAGAAACAGAGAAUUAAUCUUGAGAGUUGAGAGAGGAGAUGUAAGAAUGAACAUGUGUGAAGAUUCUUGCGAGUACAUAGUAAAUAAUUGAAUGGCUGGAGCUUUCUUAGUUUCCUGGAAAUUUCCUGGAGCUUUCGUUUACAUGCUCUGUCAAGUCAUGAAACAUAAUCAUGAUAAUGGGGCAGACCGAAAAGAAAAGCAACAAUUCAAAUAUUUGAUUCAACCAGUAUAAAAAGGAAGGAAAAGCAAAGAAAGGAAAUGUUGAAAGUAGAGUUAGGGAAUUAUAAAAAGCUGAAGGAAAUUGGAAUUUUGUACAAUUUCUCCAGCGAGGAACUUUCACAGUCGUUACCUCAUUGUUACAGUUUAGAUUAAGAUUUGAGGGUGCAAGCAUUUACCUAGAUUUUACCUCCGCACUAAACUCUUAAGUUUGAAAAAUUAUGAGACCUUUAUAUUGGAAGAUAUUAUAAUCGAAUCAAAACUUAAAAUUUUAAUAUUAUUAAUCUGGAUCCGCCUACCAUACUACUGUGGUACGGUACCACGCUUUUUGUCAUCUUUUAAAACCACCGUUCGAUGAUUCAGAGAAAAUCUAACGGUUGAGAAGAGCUAAAGGAAAAUUAUAGCAACCGGUUGCUCCAAGGCACUGUGGAAAACUUUAAUCAAUUAAUAAAGAUCCAGAUAUUGUGUGGAGGUUCUUAUUUGAUUAGCUUUGAAUGGCCAUCAUACAAAACCCUUCCAGAACCGAUUAAUUGCUGAAAUCAUUUGCAGAGAAAAAAUGUCGAUAAUCAUAAUAAUUUCCGAUGGAAUCGUAGUGGUAUUCGGCGAAAUUAGUUCGAAACGACGUCAGAUAAUAUGAAGGCAAACAAAAAUUUUGUGGCCGGCAAUUGCAGCACACGGUGGUUGGAGCUGAAACUUUAGGAAUUAGGCACAUCUGAGUAAAAAAAAAAAUACUGGAAAGAUGUGUGUUUGAUCGGUGAUGAUGCAUUCAAUCGGACGCAGUAGGUAAGUCCUUAUAUUUUAAUAAAAAUUAAAAAUUAGAAUUAGAAUAUAAAUAUAAACAAAAUCCAUUCUUGUAUCGUCCCCAAGCCUCUCAUCUCCCAAAGAUCUCUCAGUUCCCAAGCAGCAAGCUCUUCUCUCUUAACUCUCUAGUCGAUCAACUCACUGCCGACGUUGAUUGGUCAUCACGCCAAGCCUUCAGCCUCCCCAGUAGCCAUCGCACUGCCACGUCUCCGCCGCACCAACAGCCACACAAUUUCUCGUUGCUCAGUGCAUGCUCCACCCACAGAACCAGAGUCUUGUCACCAUCGCCAGCCAUCGGCGUUCUCCAACUACAAUAAGCCGACAGUUUUUCAUGAUUUUGUUAUGUGUACUUGCGCUGGAUGAAGCUCUGAUCACUUGAAUCCCUUGCCCCAAAGACGGAUUGAUUGCUUUUGUGUUGGCAUAGCCUUAGAGGUAAGAUAGAGGUAAUAAAAUAAUUGUACAUUGUUCGCUGCAAUUUAGAACCCUAUAUGAAUCACAGAAACAAACAUUUCGUCAAAAUAUCACAACCAUUCCUUCGCCACGGCCCAGAUCUGCUUUUUUCUUCGACUAUAUAACUUACAAAAAUUAUAGCAUGACUAUAUCUAACGCAAAAUUGUUACUGCAAUUUGUUGGUUUGUUAUUGUACUUACCGACCUGUAAACAACGCAAGCGUGACAACAUCAAGUGAAUAGUUCAGACCACGAUGAGAAGAGGAAGACAACCACUGUAAAUAUUAUAUCCUGUAUCCAGAUAGAUUACAGAUGAAAUCAGAUCGAUCUGAGAUGAAAUCAGAUCACUCGUUGCUGUACUAGGAAUUUCCCACGAUUAAGAAGAUUUCCAAUCACUCAAAUUAUAUUAUAUUAAUAUAUUACCGGCUCCAGUAGUUGUCAGUUUUUGCUUCUAAUUUCAAAAAUUUAUUUUAGCCAUUAGAUUUUCUCUCAAUCAUCGAACGGUGGUUUUAAAAGAAGACAAAAAGCGUGGUACCAUACCACAGUGGUAUGGUAGGCGAGUCCUAUUAAUCUUUAAUCUUUAAAAAAAAUUACCUUGCUGUUACAAUUUGGAUUAAGAUUUGAAUAAACAUUUACUUAAAUUUUAUCUCCGCCUGUAAAUUCUUAUGUUUUAAAAAUUAUGAGACCUUUAUAUUGGGAGAUAUUAUAAUCGAAUCAAAAUUUUGAAUUUCAAUAUUAUUAUUCUUUUAAAAAAAUUUGAGAUAACAGAGUGAUUGAUAAUAGAGAACUUGUCUAGGCAAACACAUGCAUACACAAAAAUGUGAUGGAUUCAAAAAGAAAUUAAAGUGAUAAUGUACGUGGAUCCUUAAAACAAAAAGUGAAAUCGCUUGGUGGCCCAGUAAAAUUAAGACUGAAAUUUUUUUACACGAGAAGUCAAGCUCAUAAAUGGCAAAAGCCAUGUCAUUUCACUUUUACGCGUCAUUGACUUUUGUAACACGGUGUAUGCAUCGUCAAGUGGGGCAAAAGGGUUUCGAUUACAGUGGGAAAACAUGAACAAGAAUGCAUAAUGAAUAAUUCCUUCGAUAAAGCGAAAAUUAAACACUGAAUAAUCCUAAAAUUUAAACUCUAAUAUCUUAUAAUGUAUUGAUUAAAAAUAAUCCUAAGAGUUCCUAAUUGAAACUUUCAUAAGUAUUUUUAUUGUUUUGGAUAAACAAAUUGCACUAGGAAAACAAUUUGGCAAAUUCAGAGGAUAAUGGAAAAUAGCUAUGCUUCAAUAGGCCAAAGAUUAGAGAACAAAGAAGAAUUAGUUAUUGAUAUACGAAAGAGAAACACUCCAAAAUUUCAAGCAAAAAUAUUUUCAUAUACCAUUUCGAUUUUGGAAGGGGUGAGGUUUUGAACUUCAAUAGUUUCCUCUAAAAUCAAAAGGCAGCAAUUAAGCUAGAAAGAGCAAAGAAGACUUUUUGGUACCUUAUUGAAGGUAAACAUUAUGGAACUUCCAAUGGCAUUACCUCACUGUUUAAUUUUUAUUGAGAUUUGUGCAAGCAUUUACCUAAAUCUUACCUCUGCCCGUAAAUUCAUAAGUUUUGAAAAUUAUGAGACCUUAUAUCGGGAGAUAUUAUAAUCGAACUAAAACUUAAAAUUUCUUUUCUUUUUUUUUUUUAUCAUAAAAGGGCUCUUAAGAGAGCUAAGGCAACACUAAGGGGGAGUGUGCAACCCCAUGAACAUCAAUAAUCCAUAUGUUUAGCGUAUUUGGAGGAAUAGAUUGAAAGCAAUGUAAACCCAAAGAAAAAGAAAAGCUAUACGAAGUAAGGAAAUCUGCUGCUACAUUGGUUUCUCGGUAGAUAUGAUCCACUUUGAUCAGCCAAUCACGCCAAAGGAGUUCUUCGAUGGCCUGAAUGAGAGUAAAAUGCUCAUUGACGGGAGGGUUUGAGUUAGAGAUUAACUUCAUAAUACACAUGCUGUCCACUUCCACGUAAAACUUAAAAUUUCAAUAUUAUUAUUCUUUAAAAAAAAUUGAGAUAUCAGAGUAAUAUCACAUAGAAAAACUUGCCCACGGACGGUAAGCCAAAAGUCUAGUCAACCACAUGCAUAAAGCUAAGUAGAACAAGAGAACAGAGAAACGCGUGGGUCCCUAAAGAAAAGGCAAGCACAUAAAUGAAAAAACCAUUACAUUUCUAUUAACACGGUGUGGCAGCAUAUGCACAAUCAAGUGAGGCAAAAGGGAUUCGCUUAUCGUGGCAGAACAUGGACGAGGACGCGUGAUGAAUAAUUCCUUCGAUAAAACGAAAAACAAACGCAGAGAAAAGAAUUUCUUAUAUGACAAGAAAUCAAAGUAAUGUGAAGGAACAUGAUGAAGAAAUUGCAGACUGAUCAAUUAUCCCCAUGGACUCCUAUAAAUUCAACCAAAAUAACAAUUCGAAUCUUACCAAAUUCUUGAGUUAAAUUUAUUCAAUGCUUUUAUUUUUUUAGAGAAAUUUUUUCCAAUGCUACUUUCCCUUUUUUGGGGAAAUUAGAACCGCGGCAUGUAUAGAAAACAUUGAGGUGUAAAGCAACAUUAAUUUCAUGGGUUAUGCGUUAUACGCAUAAUAUAUUUUCAGUCCAAAUUCAACUAUACAAAGAGGCUUGAGAACUUAAAAUUAAGCACAAACUAAACAGACGAAGUAAAUACAUGAUUAUGCAACAUAACAUUAAUUCUCUCAAUUUAUAACUGUUUUUGCUACAUGAAUCUUGCACAGUUAAUCCUAAUUGAAGACUAAAAAAGAGCAAUUGGAAGAAGGUUUUGGAAUAGAAUGAUAUACAAUCGAUAUGAUCCUUUUCCAGUAGUCAACGCUAAUUAACUGUAGUUUCUAGACUCCUAAUUAUACUAGCCAUAGUAAACUAUUUAGAAAACUGGUGAUCAAAUUAGAUUUUGAAAGGAAAUAAUGUUCAUUUUCCCUUCGCUACUUUUUUUCUUUUUUUUUUUUAUAGCAAAGAAUUACAUCAUGAAAAGAAUCAAUUUAAUCACCUUUUCCAGCAGCCCAAUUUUUCUUUUAUAAAAUUUGACCACGGAGACAAAGAAGAAUUAUUCAUAACUUCAUCACUAAGGAAAUACUUUUCGGUAUGGCUAGGGUGAGAAAAUGCUUUCCACUAACACUUGUAUUUUGUAUUCUUGUAAAUUUUCUUUAAAGUCAAUAAAAACCAUAAGUUCUUUACAAUAACCAUCUCUUUGAUCAAAAAGUGGCGUAUUCCUUUAGAAUUUAAAACCGGCAAAACCGAAUCAGUGUCUUUGAAGAGACAUAGUGGUCGUAAUUCUUUAAAUGAGUUGGCUAUGGAAAUCCUUAUCCAAGAUUCUUUUUUGCCAUAUUCUUUCGUAAACCAAAAUUCAUUUUGAAAUACUCUAUUGAGAAUGUCAAAUAAAACGGCAUUGAAGGAAGUUUUCAAAGGCAGAAUCCGCACUUGUCAAAGGGAUGAUCUGCACUUGUCAAAGACACGAUCCGCGUCGAACGAAUCGACACAUUUCCUUUCGUAUUCGCAUAUGUAAUCUUUGAAAAAAUGUAGCUUCUGCAUCUAUAAAUAACGCUCAGUGUAUAAUGUUUUAUUCAAGAAAAGAAAACAAGUUUCUUCAUACUCCUCGUCCGAACAUACAGAGAUAGUCUCUCAUAACUUCAGCCGAAUACUUAUGAUGAUGAUCAUUUGUGAUUUCAUCAGGCAUAGGGUUGAUGGUGAAAAAUUUUGUAUGUGUGAAGAAUUGAGCUGUGGAUAUAGGGGACUUAAGUGUAAUCGAAAGAGAGUUAUUAGGCCAUAGUGCAGAUUGCAUUCAGUUUAUGGGUUGAUAUGCAAAUAAUUUGUUGACGUGGCGAAAUCUGUUAUGGUCGUUACUAUUGUUUCUGGAAAUUUUCUAGAAACCUCAGCAUAAAAGGGGCUUUUGCAUAGCCUCUGGUGUGUGUGUGAUUUCUCUUUCGUUUCCUCAUCAAAUUCUGUAAUACUUGCUUUGAUAAAAAGCUUGUAAUCAUUUCUGUAAUGUGUGAUCAGUGCGUAAUCAUUUUGAGCAAUAAAAGCUUGUGGGUUUUUCCUUCAAACAGUGUCGUUUUGGUCAGUUUGUUAGUUUGAUCUGUUGGUGGAAUUUUCUUUGGUUAUUUGUUCUCAAAUUUCAACCGUAUAUAAAGUUUGAAUUCUAAUGGCUUAUAAUGUAUUGAUUAAGAAUAAUCCUAAGAGUUCCCGAUUGAAAUUUUUAAUGACUAUUUUUAUUGUUUUGGAUAUACAAAUUGCAUUAAGAAAAAAUAUUGUCAAAUUCAGAGGAUAACGGGAAAUAAUUAUGCUUCAAAAGGCUAGAGAUUAGAGAAUAAAGAAGCAUUCAUUACUGACAUACAAAAGAGAAACACUCCAAAAUUGCAAGCAAACUAGUUUCAUAUACCAUUUGGAUUUUAGAAGGGGUGGAGUUUUGAACUUCAGUUGUUCCUCUAAAAUCGAAGUGGGCUCAGGCCACAAAUUCACCAAAUGUAGGGUUUUGUACGUUUUAUGGCAUGUGAUUAUGAUGAUAAUGGAGGAGUACAUGAUCUGCGUGAAACGAAAGAUUCUUCUAAACUUACUUUGCAUAGAAGAGAUGGACUUCCAAUUCAAUUUAGGCUCACUUUUCACACCAGGUAAAUUAUUUCAACACGCGAAAGACGAAGCAGCAAUUAAGUGUUCUCAAUUAGAAAUAGCAAAGAAGACUUAUUGGUACCUUACUGAAGCUAACAUUAUGGCACGGUUGUUCAUAUGUAAUGGCUGCUCUGUUAUGCUAGCUUCUCUGUUUUUGCUUACAGUUUUGAACAUAAAUUCUUGCUCAAAUAACCCAUAAUUAAAUAACACUAAUAUGGCUCAUGAAAUCCUAUAAUAGCUAAUUACGCAACUUUCUCCUCUUCCUCAAUUAUGUCUUCCCCUGCUCGUACACUAAAUUCAAAAUUCAAUGCCCCGAAAAACAACACAAGAAAUCUUUAAGUUAAUUCGUGACCAGUUUAUAUAUAGUAGCAAUUGAAAAAAGAAAAAGAAGAAAAGAGUUAAUUAUUAUUCAGACCUUCACUUAUUCGAAAGUUUGUUCUGCUAUUGGGUGCGGUCAAGCUCUCAGCAUAUACUUCCACAUGAUACUUUCUAACAUUUUCUUGAAAGCCAUCAAUCAUAAAAUCUUCAUACUUGUUUCCAUCCUUUGGAUCAAUGAGUACAAAUUUCUCAUCUAAAACAGACAAAAUAAAAUCACUGUCCUUCAUGGAACAUAAUGGCUGCAAUGCCUGAACUGAAUUGGCUAAUGAAAUUUGAGUCCAAGAUUCUCUCAGCCCAUAUUCUUUCAUCAUCCAAAAUUCUUUUCUUUCUCGACAUGGAACAUAGUCUUCUUUUCUUUCUCGACAUAUGUCUCUAUACUUUUCUCUCUCUACUGAUCCACACUUUUUCAUACUUCUAACUAUCAUUUUGUUUUUUUUUUUGUUGAGUUGUGAUUUAUUCAAUUAUUUUGUAUUUUUAAUGACAAUUAUUUAAUAUUUAGUUAGUUUUGAUAUUGAUUAGUGAUUGAAAGUGUAUUUUAGAAGACUUCUGGUCUCUUGAAAAAAGGAAAAAUGGAGAAGAAGAAGAAGUGUUCUUGAUUUUUUUGUAGGCAUUAAAGUUAAACGGUUUGAAAUGAUAUUUUGUUUUAAUUUCACUCAUUAAUCUUAUUCAGGAUAAAAUUAUAAAUGCAAAUAAAUGGGGUUUCAUGAGUAUUUUUAAUAGUGUUAAAAGGUCUACUCUCUAAAUAAACAUGUUUUACCCAAACCAAUCUGAUUAAUAAAGUUGUUGGGUUGGGUUGAUCAGGUUAAAAAUCAAAAUUAAAAAUUAAAUAAAUAAAAAAGGCAUAAAAACUAUCUGUUACUUGAAAACAAAAAGAAUUUCUAAUGGUUAAUUCUAAUGUACCAUAUCCAAAACAUGCAUAUUAAAUAAAUAUUAUAAGUUAGAGAUAAAAUAUCCAAGAAAUAAUGAAUGAAUGAAAUACCAUAUUUUUGUUGAGAAUUAAGAGUGUGAUUUUAAUUUUGAUAUUGGAAUCUAAAGCAAUAGAUAGUACAAUGAAAUCAUGAAUGCCACAUUUAAAUAAUCUCUUUUAUAAAAUAAUAAAAAGAGGUUAAAAAUUAGGUUAGCAUUUAGGGUUUAACAGUUAAGGAUGAACGUAUUAUUAUUGUUGUUGUUGUUGUUAUAACAAUUAUUAUUAUUUACAUGAUAAGUAAUCCAACCCAACCUAAUUAUUAACAAAUUUAAAAAAUUGACCCAAUUAAUCCACAAUAAUUCAUUCAACUCGUCUAAAUUGGAUUAGGUUGAACUUGAUUUGCUACCCCUACAUUGAGCAACAAACCUCAACGUCAUUCUACGAGCUCUUUGAUUGUUUAUAAAAUUGAUUUAGAGUACAUAAAGUGUAUCGACAAUGAAAGUGAAAAACAAAUUAUUGUACAUAUUAAAAUGUGCAAAACAAUGAAUUAUAUGUACAAACGAGUGCAAACACAUUUUUCAAUAAGAAGUUAAAAGAUAUUUAUGCAUGAAAAAGCCUACGUUUGUAGUUAUUCUAAAUUUUAAAAACAAAAUUUACAUUUAGAUCCCUAAAAUUUACGUAUAAGUAUACAGUUUCAAAUAUUGUCUAUUAUUUUUUGAACAUGCCUAUUCUGGAUAAUUCUGUCUCAUCACUAAUGUUGUUUCUUGCUUACAAAAAACAAAUGUCAUCUCCUUUUACAAUUUUUAUAGCGUCUCAAAAUAGACAAUAGGGGGAUUUUGAAUUUUUUAAGUCUCAAUAUAGUCUCUAAUCUUGUGAGAAAGAUUUUCUUUCAAUAAUUUGGAGGUAAACAUAACAUAAUUUUUUGGAUAGUGUGCAUGUGUAUUUAAUUAAUAAUUUUUUAAAAAAAUACAUCAAAUAUUAAUAUCCAUGACAUAAUUUAGUUCUUAAUUUUUUUUAAAUACAUCAAAAACAUAAUUUUUUUAACAACUUAUAGGCAUGACAAAUUUCAAAAUAUAAAUAUCAGUCAAAAUAAGUGAAAGAAAUCAAAGUAAUGUUUCAUUUUCCCUUCCCUACCUUUUUUUUUGUUUUAUUUUUAUAGCAAAGAAUUAUAUCAUGAAAAGAAUCAAUUUAAUCACCUUUUCUAGCAGCCCAAUUUUUCUUUUAUAAAAUUUGACCAGGGAGACAAAGAAUAAUUAUUCAUACCUUCAUCACUAAGGAAAUACUUUUCGGUAUGGCUAAGGUGAGAAAAGGCUUUCCACAAACACUUGUACUUUGUAUUCCUGUAAAUUUUCUUUAAAGUCAAUAAAAACCAUAAGUUCUUUACAAUAACCAUGUCUUUGAUAAAAAAGUGCCGUAUUCCUUUAGAAUUUAAAACCGGCAAAACCGAAUCAGUGUCUUUGAAGAGACAUAAUGGUCGUAAUUCUUUAAAUGAGUUGGCUAUGGAAAUCCUUAUCCAAGAUUCUUUUACGCCAUAUUCUUUUGUAAACCAAAAUUCAUUUUGGAAUACUCUGUUGAGAAUGUCAAAUAAAACGGCAUUGAAGGAAGUUUUCAAAGGCAGAAUCCGCACUUGUCAAAUGGAUGAUCUUCACUUGUCAAAGACACAAUCCGCGUCAAAUGAAUCGACACAUUUCUUUCUGUAUUCACAUAUGCAAUUUUUGAAAAAAUGUAGCUUUUACAUCUAUAAAUAACGCUCAGUGUAUAAUGUUUUAUUCAAGAAAAGAAAACAAGUUUCUUCAUGGUAUCAGAGCCAUGAAUACGCUCAAGUUUCUUCAAGUUUCGCUGCUCUGUUUGUAACAAAAACAGAGAAAACCAAAAUCUUCCCACAACCAUUUUUUCCACCGUUUUCUUCCUUAAAAUCAUUCCCACCAUUAUAGAAAUCCAUGCCGAUCAAAAAACAAGCCACCCAUACGUAAAAAAUUUGAGUUUACAAAUUUAUCAACAAUCUCAUAAAUUAGAUACAAAACAACGUGACGUUUAAUCUCCAGAACUGCAACAAUCUUAAAACGACAUGUCGUUUCUAUUCCAUCAGAACCGACAUAUCAUUUCUUCAAGCAGAGGCCAAACGACUUGUCGUUUUUUUAUCUAAAAAGGUUAUUUUUUCUUAUUUCAAUCUAGACGCCAAAAAAAAAUGGAGAAAACUCCAACUGAAUCUGAUCCUGUUGUCAUUCAAUCUGUUUAAUCUGAUGGAGUAUUUGAUGCUGGAAUUAUCCUCUCUAAGGCAAACUACGAUAUUUGGUCUCAAAUAAUGGAGUUGCAUCUCGCAGAAAGAGAAAAACUCUCAUAUAUUCGUAGCAACACAAAGCCAUCUGAGGAAUCUUCAAAGGAAUAUGAGAAAUGGUAUAGUGAGAACGAAAAGGUAAAAAAUGGUUACUCAUAUCCAUGUCUUUGGAUAUCAUGAACCGAUAUUUACGAAUUCCUACAGCCUACGAAAUAUGGGAUGCAUUAUCAAAAGGCUUCUAUGAUGGAAUCGAUGAAUUACAAGUUUUCACUCUAAACCAGAAGGCGUCUCUACCAAGCAAAAUUGACAGCCACUAUCUAAAUUCUUCAGAGAAUUGAUCGAAAUAUUUCGAGAACUUGAUCACCGAGAUAAAGUGGUCAUGAAGGAUCCAGAAGAUGUUGUAAUAUACAAAAGGUCUGUUGAAAGAUUGAGAGUGCACAUUUUUCUUGUUGGGCUAGAUGAAGAAUUUAACCAAGUUCGUGGAGAAAUUCUACGAAAAGAUAUUAUCCUAGAUUUAGAAGAAUGUUAUUUUUUGAUCUGAAGAGAAGAUGUACGGCAAAGCAAACUAAACAAGAAGGUCGACUCAGAAACGUCUGCUAUGAUAACACGACAUCAGCUUCAAAGGAAGCUUGUUGACAAGUCAUCACUCCAUUGCACUCAUUGUAGGAAGAAGGGUCAUACGAAAUAACAAUGUUUUGAAAUCAUUGGAUAUCCUGACUGGUGGGAUACUCGAAAGAAAAACACCAAGCAGGGAUAAAAAACUGUAGUAGUUGAAUCCACAUCCACUACAGAUCUUAGAAAAUAAUCUUCAGUGCAAAUCGCAACCUCUGUCAGUCCAGGUAAGGCCCUUAAAACUCUUACACCUGUUAUUAAUAGUACAUGGAUAAUUGAUUCUGGGGCAACUGAUCAUAUGACUUUUGAUUCUCGACAAGUUUCUCAAUUGAAACCAUCUUCACAAAAACAUGUUUCCACUCCAAAUGGAACCACAACCUCAGUUAUUGGGGAAGGAUCUUUACAACUCACAGAUAAAUUAAAUUUAGACUAUGUGNNNNNNNNNNNNNNNNNNNNNNNNNNNNNNNNNNNNNNNNNNNNNNNNNNNNNNNNNNNNNNNNNNNNNNNNNNNNNNNNNNNNNNNNNNNNNNNNNNNNNNNNNNNNNNNNNNNNNNNNNNNNNNNNNNNNNNNNNNNNNNNNNNNNNNNNNNNNNNNNNNNNNNNNNNNNNNNNNNNNNNNNNNNNNNNNNNNNNNNNNNNNNNNNNNNNNNNNNNNNNNNNNNNNNNNNNNNNNNNNNNNNNNNNNNNNNNNNNNNNNNNNNNNNNNNNNNNNNNNNNNNNNNNNNNNNNNNNNNNNNNNNNNNNNNNNNNNNNNNNNNNNNNNNNNNNNNNNNNNNNNNNNNNNNNNNNNNNNNNNNNNNNNNNNNNNNNNNNNNNNNNNNNNNNNNNNNNNNNNNNNNNNNNNNNNNNNNNNNNNNNNNNNNNNNNNNNNNNNNNNNNNNNNNNNNNNNNNNNNNNNNNNNNNNNNNNNNNNNNNNNNNNNNNNNNNNNNNNNNNNNNNNNNNNNNNNNNNNNNNNNNNNNNNNNNNNNNNNNNNNNNNNNNNNNNNNNNNNNNNNNNNNNNNNNNNNNNNNNNNNNNNNNNNNNNNNNNNNNNNNNNNNNNNNNNNNNNNNNNNNNNNNNNNNNNNNNNNNNNNNNNNNNNNNNNNNNNNNNNNNNNNNNNNNNNNNNNNNNNNNNNNNNNNNNNNNNNNNNNNNNNNNNNNNNNNNNNNNNNNNNNNNNNNNNNNNNNNNNNNNNNNNNNNNNNNNNNNNNNNNNNNNNNNNNNNNNNNNNNNNNNNNNNNNNNNNNNNNNNNNNNNNNNNNNNNNNNNNNNNNNNNNNNNNNNNNNNNNNNNNNNNNNNNNNNNNNNNNNNNNNNNNNNNNNNNNNNNNNNNNNNNNNNNNNNNNNNNNNNNNNNNNNNNNNNNNNNNNNNNNNNNNNNNNNNNNNNNNNNNNNNNNNNNNNNNNNNNNNNNNNNNNNNNNNNNNNNNNNNNNNNNNNNNNNNNNNNNNNNNNNNNNNNNNNNNNNNNNNNNNNNNNNNNNNNNNNNNNNNNNNNNNNNNNNNNNNNNNNNNNNNNNNNNNNNNNNNNNNNNNNNNNNNNNNNNNNNNNNNNNNNNNNNNNNNNNNNNNNNNNNNNNNNNNNNNNNNNNNNNNNNNNNNNNNNNNNNNNNNNNNNNNNNNNNNNNNNNNNNNNNNNNNNNNNNNNNNNNNNNNNNNNNNNNNNNNNNNNNNNNNNNNNNNNNNNNNNNNNNNNNNNNNNNNNNNNNNNNNNNNNNNNNNNNNNNNNNNNNNNNNNNNNNNNNNNNNNNNNNNNNNNNNNNNNNNNNNNNNNNNNNNNNNNNNNNNNNNNNNNNNNNNNNNNNNNNNNNNNNNNNNNNNNNNNNNNNNNNNNNNNNNNNNNNNNNNNNNNNNNNNNNNNNNNNNNNNNNNNNNNNNNNNNNNNNNNNNNNNNNNNNNNNNNNNNNNNNNNNNNNNNNNNNNNNNNNNNNNNNNNNNNNNNNNNNNNNNNNNNNNNNNNNNNNNNNNNNNNNNNNNNNNNNNNNNNNNNNNNNNNNNNNNNNNNNNNNNNNNNNNNNNNNNNNNNNNNNNNNNNNNNNNNNNNNNNNNNNNNNNNNNNNNNNNNNNNNNNNNNNNNNNNNNNNNNNNCCCCCUUUUUUAUAGAUACAUAGAGUAAAUCAUGGCCAUUGGAUUAAAAAUAGUUUGGACGGCUCAGGAUUUCGCCACGUCAUCAGUCAACAGUACGCGGUUUGACCACGCGGAUGAACAGUAACACGGUUUGACUCGGAUGAACAGUAACACGGUUUGACUCGGAUGAACAGUAACGCGGUUUGGUUGAAAAUAAUCCAGUGUGAUGCAUGUACCGUACGCGAGAUUUUUCGUCCACUGAUAUGCUGCCACGUCACCAUCAACAGUACAUAAGAAUUUUAGCCCAACAGGAUCGUGACACCUCAUCAGUCAAUGUCACAUCAUCGGUCAAUGCCACGUCAUCGAUCCGUCUAUGUGAACAGUAAUGUGAACAGUACCGUACACGUGAAUAGUACCGUACAUAUGAAUAGUGCUAUUUUUCCUUUUAUGCUCCUCCUAAGGUUUUCGACCGUCCUAAGUUCAAAAGUGAUGUCUGUUUUGCCGUCUGAUCUCUCCUUUAUUGUGAAAUGACUAUAAUGCCCCUAAAAUACAUAAAAUACUUAAUUAAAAUAAAACACAUGUAAUUAAAUCACAAGAAGGUUAAAUACAUAAAAGUAAGGGUUGUUAGUAAGACUUGAAAUGUAAAAUGACGGUUUUCUCCUUUAUAAAUAUGCAUUUUCUAACACUCAACAUAAGUCAGUUUAUGUAUAAUCCCAGAGAACAACACAUGAAAGCAGUAAUGCGGAUCCUGAGGUACCUGAAGUCAAAUCCUGGAAAAGGAAUCCUAUUUUCCAAAAAUGGAGAUUACAACAACAUAGAAGUUUAUACUGAUGCAGAUUGGGCCGGGUCAGCUAGUGAUAGACGCUCUACCUCAGGAUACUUUACCUUUGCGGGAGGCAACCUUGUCACAUGGAGAAGCAAGAAACAACAUGUCGUUGCCGUUCGAGCGCUGAAGCAGAAUAUCGAGGCAUGACCCUUGGGUUAUGUGAAGGGCUAUGGAUAAGCUUUAUCUUAAAUGAUUUGGGCUAUCCAUCGGAACAACCAAUAUAACUAUACUGUGACAACAAAGCUGCACGAGAUAUUGCUCAUAACCUAGUUCAACACGAUCGAACAAAACAUGUCGAGGUAGAUAGAUUUUUCAUCAAGGAGAAAUUAGAAUUGCCGAAAAUUCGAUCAAAAGAUCAACUUGCAGAUAUUUUAACGAAGGCCAUUUCAAGCAGAACAUUUACAAAAUUCCUAGACAAGCUGGGUAUGCAAGACAUCUAUGCAUCAACUUGAGGGGGAGUGUUGAGAAUGUCAAAUAAAACGGCAUUGAAGGAAGUUUUCAAAGGGAGAAUCCGUACUUGUCAAAGGGAUGAUCUGCACUUGUCAAAGACACGAUUCGUGCCGAACGAAUCGACACAUUUCCUUCCAUAUUCACAUAUGUAAUUUUUGAAAAAAUGUAGCUUCUGCAUCUAUAAAUAACGCUCAGUGUAUAAUGUUUUAUUCAAGAAAAGAAAACAAGUUUCUUCAUACUCCUCGUCCGAACAUACAUAGACAGUCUCUCAUAACUUCAGCCGAAUACUUAUGAUGAUGAUCAUUUGUGAUUUCAUCAGGCAUAGGCAAGAACUUGACCCUGUCUACUACCAACCAAAUGCCGAAAUUCGCCUACCACCCCAAUGAUUCCUAAUCCUAUUUUAAUACCAGGUUUGAUCACAAGAUAAGAAUCAGAUUUAAACACUUUUCCAAGUGUUGUUUCCCAAAGAGAAGUCACACACAUUUUCUUUUCUACCAGGAACUGUUGUACUAUCAAGAAUCUGUAAUCAUCUAUUGAUUGAGCAUAGCAAAAUGCAAAUUUCCGGUCUUGGUAUUCUCUUAACUCUGUAGUGGAAUGAUUGUAUAUCUUAUAUAAAUAGUUAUUAUAAUUACGCCCCGAGUCUCUGUUUAAUCCUCAAGCACAAUAAGCCAUUACAAGAAUCCAAUAUCAAAACCGAUUCAUAAAGCUACCCAUUGCUUUAAUUUGCAAGUUAAAGAAAAAAUCACUUCAGGUUUCGGGGAUACUGUACGUAAAAUCGAGGAAGGUAACUGAAAAACAAUUGUAUAUAUGUCAAGCAAACUGUAGGAUUUGUGAUUAUAUGUGUAAAAUAGAUAAGACUGAUAAUAUAGCAAUCGCAUAUACAUGCCAAUCUUAGUGGAGUAAAAGCUCUAAUGCCAGUAGAAUUCUGAUUAUUAAAUUUCGGGAGAACUCUGAUCACUGAUGCCACUGAAAAAUUCUAUUUAUAUAUUUUUUAUUAUUAUAUGUAAUACAUAGAAUAAAUGUUCAACGAAAGUCCAAUAUACAACUGAAACCCACUAAAGUCCAGGAUGAGAAAACAAAAGAAAUACUUCCACAUAUUGGGAGAUUUGAAUCUUCCAUUUUUCUCGAUAUUAGAAUUAAGAGGAGGAGGUGCAGAUGAACCGAAACAAAGGGUUGAUGGUGAAAAAUUUUGUAUGUGUGAAGAAUUGAGCUGUGGAUAUAGGGGACUUAAGUGUAAUCGAAAGAGAGUUAUUAGGCCAUAGUGCAGAUUGCAUUCAGUUUAUGGGUCGAUAUGCAAAUAAUUUGUUGAUGUGGCGAAAUCUAUUAUGGUUGUUAGUAUUGUUUCUGGAAAUUUUCUAGAAACCUCAACAUAAAAGGGGCUUUUGCAUAGCCUCUGGUGUGCGUGUGAUUUCUCUUUCGUUUCUUCAUCAAAUUCUGUAAUUCUUGCUUUGAUAAAAAGCUUUUAAUCUCUUAUGUAGUGUGUGAUCAGUGCGUAAUCAUUUUGAGCGAUAAAAGCUUGUGAGUUUUUCCUUCAAACAGUGUCGUUUUGGUCAGUUUGUUAGUUUGAUCUGUUCGUGGAAUUUUUCUUUGGUUAUUUGUUCUCAAAUUUCAACCGUAUAUAAAGUUUGAACUCUAAUGGCUUAUAAUGUAUUGAUUAAGAAUAAUCCUAAGAGUUCCUGAUUGAAAUUUUUAAUGACUAUUUUUAUUGUUUUGGAUAUACAAAUUGCAUUAAGAAAAAAUAUUGUCAAAUUCAGAGGAUAACGGGAAAUAAUUAUGCUUCAAAAGGCCAGAGAUUAGAGAAUAAAGAAGCAUUCAUUACUGAUAUACAAAAGAGAAACACUCCAAAAUUACAAGCAAACUAGUUUCAUAUACUAUUUGGAUUUUGGAAGGGGUGAAGUUUUGAGCUUCAGUUGUUCCUCUAAAAUCAAAAGCAGCAAUUAAGCGUUCUCAAUUAGAAAGAGCAAAGAAGACUUAUUGGUACCUUACUGAAGCUAACAUUAUGGCACGGUUGUUCAUAUGUAAUGGCUGCUCUGUUAUGGUAGCUUCUCUGUUUUUGCUUCUAUUUUUGCUUACAGUUUUGAACAUAAAUUCUUGCUCAAAUAACCCAUAAUUAAAUAACACUAAUAUGGCUCAUGAAAUCCUAUAAUAGCUAAUUACGCAACUUUCUCCUCCUCCUCAAUUAUGUCUUCCCCUGCUCGUACACUAAAUUCAAAAUUCAAUGCCCCGAAAAACAACACAAGAAAUCUUUGAGUUAAUUCGUGACCAAUUUAUAUAUAGUAGCAAUUGAAAAAGAAAAAGAAUAAAAGAGUUAAUUAUUAUUCAGACCUUCACUUAUUAGGAAGUUUAUUAAAGUACUUUUCUUUAUAGAUGUUAGUGAUGAAGCAAUUGUGUCAAGUGAGCUUUUCACAGCAUUUUCUCCUUUAAUCAUGGAAGAACUGAAGGACUCAUUUACGCCAGCUAAAAAAUCAUCAAAACUGCUUUUGAUAUUGGAUAUUGAACUGUUAUCCAUAUCCAGAGAAUCAAAUGUUGUGGUGGGAUUCUCAGGUGUUAAUUCAAUAGCUAAUGUGGUUUUGGGUUCCACAGGUGCCAUCAACUUGUCUGCAUUUUCAGUCAUUCGGUCUGCAAAAUCCACAAGUCCUUCUUCCACAGCAGGUACACUAGAAUCUUCUAUAUAUUUCAGCUCCCCACUUCCCAUAGGGUUCAUCUCAUUUGCCGUUUCAACAGAAUAACUCCAUGCAUUAGAUGGUUUGCAACUAAUGUCGUCUAAUUCAUUUGGACAGGAAUUAAUGAAAUCUAUGGAGACUGAUUUACUGUUUUCAACAAAACUAGAGUACAAGGACUUUGUAGCUUGUGUUUUAAAGCAAACUCUCUGGAGAUGAGUUCCAUUUUUCAAGCCCAAAUCAAUACCAUCUUCCACAUUACACUUCAAUUCAAAGUCCUUCCUGAAUGGGGAAAAGGAUUGCAAACCUCCAUGGAAUGAUGUCUGCUAAUUGAAAAAUGC
rnacentral:lncRNA from 1 species